CUGGUUAUCCUUUUGAAAUUCAAUCAUCAAUGGUUCCUUUUCCUUUUUCUUUUCUUUUACCAUUAGGCUUCUAAUAAUUAGAAUUUCAUUCUUUGGAGAGUUCGCUAAUACUCUGCGUUAGUAUGAGGAAUCAGUUUAAUGGGAUUGAUUUGAAAACAUUUUUGGUCACCACAGAGCAGACACUAAAGUGUCAGUUAGCCUAAAUGGAUAUAUGGUAGAACGGGGAUCAUUUGAACCACUUUUGAAACUGAUGCAAGAUGGUUAGACAGCUUUAAGAAAGUUGAGGUAUCUCUUUUGAUCAGUAGCAACAGAAGAUCACAUCAUUCACAUGUUAUACUAUAGCUGUUAAGGCUAACAAACUUAGAAUCAAGGCAGGUUGACCACUGUUUGCGAUCAAGAGGUUUGAUCUCUUUAAUUUGAAUCUUGAUUUGUAUUUUUCCUUUUGUUUCCAUAGAGCUUUAGAAUACAAUCACAGUACACUCACAUGAUAUGAUCUCAUAUCAUAUACCCGUCAUCCUCUAUUAAGGUGCAGAUCCAACAGAAGAUGGAUAUGAUUAACGAGAUUGAAAAUUAGAAGAGUCUUUCUUCACUUAGAUUUGCUGGAUUCUUCUUGUUUUUUUUUUUAUAGUUCUAUGGGCUUAAAAUGGUCUGUAUAAUAUCAGUUGACUCCACUGCAAGUGCUUCCCAACAAUUAUUGUGUGAUCAAUGUAUUCUCUUUGAUUUUUUACUUAUCAACAUUUUCACCUUUUUUUUAUCUCUCCUUUUUUUUUCUGCGUUUUUCGUCUUGCGAUUUUAUAAGGGACUGUUUCCUACAAUUUUUUUUUCUAUGUUUUCACCAUUUUCUUUCUCCUUUUUCUUUUUUUUUGGCAUUUUUCUUCUUAAGAAUCUUAGGAAUAUGUUAUUUCUUGUACUUCAACGAGAGAUUGUGAGUUUUAAUAUUAGUUUGUACAUUCGGGAUCAAAGUUGUGUAACUAAGGCCACAUUCAAAAAGAAAAAAGGCCACAUUCAAAGUUUCGCACAGCGCCUCAUAUUCCACAGGACCAGCCCUGGAAAUGAGCAUAAUAUUCUGCAUCUUCUUUUUGCUGUUUUUCACUCUUAGAUAUGUGACUUAAUGGAUCUUAUAUCAUAAUGUGAAAUGGUAUUGUUGCGUAAUACAUGUGAGCAUUUUAAUUGCUUAAUUCAUUUCACUUUUAUAAUUAGCCAAAAAUAUGAUUUGCCUGUAACUCCUCUCAGUAUUUGCCUUCUGAUGUUUGAUGGUUCUUAAGUUAACUUGUUUUUGUUGUAGGAAAUUUAAAGUGUACACAUGCAAGAGCAAGAGUGAGGACCAGAUGAAGUCAAACUGGUUCUGGGGAUCCCAGAGGUCCUUGCUACAAGUCACCAUUUCCCCAAGCUAUUGUUUAUCAGAGGCUAUGUCGUAUAUAUGCAUAUCUGUUGGUUUUAGAGUCCUCCAAAACUAACCUCAAUGUUCAUACUUCUUAGGUCAAGAUGCCAUAGGACCCAUAAGCACCAAUAAUUUCCACAAGCUUUUGCCUUUGGUGGGUUCCAAUGAGGCAAUGACCUGCAAUAGGAGACAUUAUUGGCUCUCGUGUUGUUUCCAGUGAAUUGAGCAGGAAAAGUUGAUGUAAAUAUCAAUGAUACAUAUCGGUGGGAAGUUUCUGGGAAGUUUCCAGUGAAUUUAGUAGGAAAAGCGGCUGUAAAUUUGCAUGGGUCCUCAGCAUCCAAUUAUGGACGGUAAAGUUAAAGCACACUGAUUAACCGGUGUGGAACAGUUUCACCUCAAUAGUAAAAACCAGAAUUUCACCCUUUCACCCCGGGUCUUGUUCCUCAUAUCCAAUCAGUCAAAGCUGUAAAAGAUUUAGGGAGAUUUAUUGGGUUUCUUUGCUUAGUCAAUGUAGACUUGUAUUGCGUAGUCACAGUCUCACAGUCCGUCUUCUUCGUCUCCUCCCUUCAUUGCUUCUGUCUGGAAAUCAGUUGCUGGUUUUCAAUGGCCUCCUCCUCUUCAUCAUCGUCGAUUCGCAGCUGGAAGUAUGAUGUGUUUUUGAGUUUCAGGGGUACUGACACUCGCAAAGGGAUUGCAAACGAGAUCUGCAAUCGACUUAGUAGUAGAGGAAUCAAAACGUUCAUGGAUGAGCAAGGACUUCAAGUAGGGGAUGUUAUUUCUCCCGCACUCAUAAAGGCAAUUAAAGAGUCAAGGUUUGCAAUCGUAAUUCUCUCGAAAAAUUACGCUUCUUCUGCUUGGUGUUUGGAGGAACUUAGAGAGAUUUGUCUAUCCAUGGAAGAGAGCAGAAUUUUGCCACUUUUUUUUGAAGUUGAUCCUACGGAUGUCCGAUUUCAGAAGAACAGUUUCAAAGAAGCUUUCUCUAAGCACGAUACCUCUAAGCGACAUGAAUCAGAGAAGGUGCAUCAAUGGAGGGCUGCCUUAAGCAAAGUGGCCAAUAUCUCAGGGUGGAAUACAAAUGAUUUCAAGUAAGCAUUGUGCCUUCAAUUUCAAUUCUAUAUAUAUUUUACCUAACACUUGACUUUUAAUCCUUACAACUCUUUAAUUCUUCCUUGUAGGACUCACAGUGAACUUGUUGACAAGAUUGUGGAAUCUCUCCUCAGUAAAGUACCACUUGAUCCUAUUGAAUCCACAGGAGAUUUCCAAGAAUAUGAAGCAACAAAAGAAGCCAUGCGCAAGGUUAUGGAGGCGCUAAAAGAUGACAAGAUUACUGUCGUUGGUGUCUAUGGCAUGGGCGGCGUUGGAAAGACAAGCAUGGUGAGACAUGUAGCUGCACAAGCCUGCAGAAAUGGUACUUUUAACCAUUGGAUUAUGGCUGUCAUAUCCCAAAACCUUGACUUGGAAAAAGUUCAAGGUACAUUGGCAGAUUUGUUGGGCUUUAAAUUCGUGGAGGGGACAGAAGCUGGAAGAGCAAAUAAGUUGCAUAAGGAGAUCAUGAGAAAAGAAAAACUCCUGAUAAUUGUGGACGAUGUUUGGGAGAGAAUAGAGUUGUCAAAGAUAGGGAUUCCCACCUACAAUGAGCUUCAAAAGUGCAAGUCCAAAGUGCUACUCACCACCAGGAGAUUGAAUGUCUGUAAUGCCAUGAAGUGCCAUGAAAAGAUCGGCCUCAAAGUUCUCUCAGAUCAAGAUUCUUGGACCUUGUUCGUGAGAAAUGCAGGAACAAUUUCUUUUGAGCCCACCUCAUUUGAGAAAGUGGCAAGGAGGGUAGCUUUAGAGUGUAAGGGUCUACCGAUUGCAUUGAUAGCUGUUGCAAGGGCACUCGGAGAUGAGGACCAGGAGGAAUGGAAGAAGGCAGUUGAACGACUAGAGCAGUCGCAAUAUGUCAAUCCUAACCAUGAGGAAGAUGCAUUCCGAUGUAUAAGAUUAAGUUAUAAUUACUUGAAAGAUGGGGAUUCCAAGUCAUGCUUCUUGCUCUGUUGCCUGUUCCCAGAAGACGAUAACAUCAAAAUAGAAGACUUAUUCCGGUACGCGAUCGGAAAAAGAUUGUUUCGAGAUGCCAAAACAAUGGAAGUAGCCAGAGGAAGAUUGGUUACAGUGGUCAAGUACCUGAAAAAUUCUAGCUUGCUUUUGGAUAGUGAGGAAGAAGGAUGUGUUAAGAUGCAUGAUGUCAUCCGGGAUACAGCCAUUCAAAUUGCCGAAUCUGAAGAUUGCCAUCGGUUUUUGGUGGAAGCUGGUCGUGGUUUAAAGGAUUGGGCGCCAUGGGGAUUACAUGAAGGCUGCACUGCAAUUUCACUGAUGAACAACAAAAUUCGCAAGCUACCCAAAGAGAUGGUAUGUCCAAAUCUCCAGAUUUUAUUACUAAACGGGAAUAAGAAACUAAGUGAGAUCCCCCAAAAGUUGAUCCAGAAUCUGAAAAAGUUAAGGGUCUUGGAUCUUAGCAACACUAGUAUUUCCGUAUUACCCCAAUCAUUUAGUCUCCUCACCAACCUCCAAGCUUUGUAUUUAGAUGAUUGCAGCAAAUUAAUUGACAUUUCCGUUGUGGGGAAACUUAACAAGCUUGAAAUUCUUAGUAUGAGAGGUUGUCCCAGGGGGCAAUUGUUCAGAGAAAUAGAACAUUUGACCAAUCUAAGGAUUUUGGAUGUCAAUCGCUCUUGGGCAACGGGUGGUAUGGUUACAAUUCCAUCUAAAGUGAUACCAAUGUUGCAUAAAUUAGAAGAAUUGUACAUGGUGUACUGUGGAUUUGAGGAGGACGUGUGGUGUGUAGCUGAGGGACGAAGAGAAAGAACCAAUAUUAUUAGGUUUGAUGAGUUAGUUGGUUUAUCAAAUUUGAAAAUAUUGCAGGUUGGCUUAUCUGAUGAAAGUUUCAUCCCUAAAAAUGUUGAGGCCGCACCAGAUUGGAAUUACUUUUGUAUAACUAUCUUCGGCAGAUGCACCAGCUCUAUAUACCGCCCCCUCGCUGUAUACGAACAUGGAGAUCGUAAUUCAAGAUCCUUGUUUCUUAAUGGAGCAACCAUCAGUACCUUGCCUGAUUGGUUUAUCAAAGCGGUGACGGAGAAAACAGAGAAGCUUGAGUACAACCGCUGCGGAGGGAUGAGUGACAUUGUUAUGGAAUAUGACCAUGGGAGGUUACAUAAACUCAAGCAUCUCACAGUUGCUGGGCAACAAGACGAGUUGAAAGAGUUGAUGAACACAACAAGACGAGUUGAAACAGGACCCGUGUUUGAGAAUUUGGAAGAGUUGCAUCUGAUAGAUCUGAUCCACCUGGAGGAGUUGUUGGUUGGUGAGUUACCACUUGGGUCUCUCUCAAAUCUCAAGGUGUUUCAUGUAUUUUUUGGUAAGAUUUUAAGGAGUGUCUCAGAAUUUGUACAGAGACUACCAAAUCUGGAGAAACUACAUUUAAACGGUGUGCAUGAAUUGGAAUAUGUGUUUAGAUGCGAAGGGUUCGAGCCAGAACAACCAAAACUGAGAGAGAUGCAUUUGCUGCGUCUAAGAGCACUAAAAAGCGUAUGUAAUGGUCCUGCUCCACAUGCAAUGUUCCAGGGUCUUAAAAUUUUGACCAUUUACCGUUGCGAGCUGCUGCAAAGUCUGUUCGCAUCUGAUGUAGCCCAAUGUCUUGUUCAAUUGGAAGACCUUCUUGUUGAGGAUUGCCCUUUGUUGGAAAGAGUAAUGGAAGCAGUGAACAAGGAGAAGACGGUUCUACCAAAACUGAAGAACUUGGUUUUGAAGAAUCUUCCUAGGUUGUAUGGUGCAGUUGCUGCCGUUGAUAUUCAGUGUCGUUCAUUGGAACACUUGAUGGUGGAGGAUUGCCCCAAGCUUUUAUUUUCAACCUCUUCCGAUCUCUUUGAAGCCUUCAAAAACAGGAUCCAAUUUUCAUUUUCAGCCUCCAUUUCUGACCCAGUCCAACUCGAUGAUCCACAACUAUACCAAACUCUACGUGACAGGUAUUGACGUAUUUACUUAGUUUGUUCUUUUCUUCUGUAUUUUGUAGGGCAGCAAUUGGGCAAAAACUGAUUUGAUCAAUUAAUAUCUGUGAUUCAAUUUUUAUUCUUCCCACUCUUUUAAAACAAUUGAGCUCCCAUGACAGGACAAAACACGAAACACAAUUAAAGUAGCAUUUUUAUUUUCAUUCUUAUUUUUUUUGUUAUCAGUCAUAAUGUGAACAACAAAAAAAAGUCAAAAUUAUGCAGAAUACUUAAAGUUGAUGAUUGUUUCGUUUUCUUUACUCUAGUAAUGCAAGUUACAAACAACAUUAUGGACACUUCUAGAAUGUUACUUUUCUGUUUAAAUCUAUAAUUUUAAUAGUAAUUCUUUUUUUCUUUUCUUUUUUUCCUAUUUUGAUGCAACAGAACAUUGCAAAGUAUCAUGCUCAGCUUCUGACUUCCAUUGCAGGAAGUAACCAAGUUCAACUCUAUUUCUUUGUCCAGGUAUGUUUUGUGAUCAACUGAAUUAUUUUCUUUUCAUUGAAUGGUAGAUUUAUUGUGAUGCCAUAGAAACUAAAAAUGUUAAUUUUUUCUAAGAUAAUGGAGUUCUCAUAAUUCAUUUGCUUUCCCAAUCUUCUGUGUAUUAGUGAUUCAGUGCAACAAGCAAAUUUUAACUUCAAUUUUCUUUUUCGCUCCUAUAUUCUUAUUUUUCUUGUUAUAAUUCGUCGUUAUCAAUCAUUUCUUUUUUCUAAUUUGGAUUUGAUAAUUAAUUGAUGAAAGAUAUUAAAUUUGUGAAAGGAAAACAAUACACCUGCAUUACUUGUUGAAUAUAUAGUGAAUGUACCAUUUACUUCUGUAAGUUUUGAGUUUGUGACUUCAAAUGUGGGUAGAAAGUUACAAGUCCUUCAAUAUUUCUUGUAUUAGAAAGGCGUCCUGACAAAUGGCUUUUGUGCUUGCUUGAUGUGGAUUAUUAUUUACGGAGGGUUCCCCCGUUCCCCUAUCUCUUGAAGCCGAAAAGGGUUCUAAAAGAAACCCCCUCGUCAAAGGACCUCCCCCGCCUGUCGGAGGAAUUUGAGGGCCCGGACCCGGACGUAUUGGAGUUUAUUUCCCCUCUACCAUCAGACACCAUCAUACAGAUAAUGGGCACGUUUGGUAACUAGGAUAAGAUUGAAUUAGGAUAACAGCAAGAUUAGAUUAGGAUAAGAUUAGAUUUAUUUCAAAUCCUUUCAUUUGUUUGGUUAGAAGGAUUAGUACGGGAAUAGAUAUGUGGAAGAAAUAGAUCUCUGGUCAGCAUCCGUCUUCUUCAACACAAUCGAAAGCCCAAUUCGUCAAAUUCUCAAUUCCUCUGCGAACAUAAAUGCCUCAAGCUAAUUAACAGUGGCGGCAAGUAGAUGAGAGCCUCCGUCCCUCUGUCAACUCUAUUACAUGCCCAGAUGAAAUCAUCUACGACUCCUGCAGCUUUCCCAAUCUUCCUCCAAAGUCCUCAGCCUCUCCGCCGGCGCCGUCCACAAGGCUCUCUUUCCCGGCCAGGUCGUCGUCGCUCACAUCACGGUCGUCGAGCUUUUGGGCUUCGAUCUGUACAACUAGCUAUGAUAAAGUGUUUUAUUUCGCGCGGAGACGCAGAGAGGAGGGUCGCGUACUUGCGUCGUCUUUAGAUCCGGCUGGACUUUUUUAUAUCCCACCUUUCUAACAGGUUUUGAUAUCCUGGUCUGACAAGACAUAAUAUCCUGUCCUAGAACAAACUGAACUGCCAAACGCUGGAAUAGAUAUAUUUUUCUCCUAUCCAGUUACUUAACCGGGCAAACAAACACCGCCAAUAAGUAUUAUAUUUUGCCUAUAUAAUUUGAUGAUUGCAUCCGGAGAUUGAUCUGUGCAUUCAAAUUCUGGUUAUCCUUUUGAAACUCAAUCAUCAAUGGUUCCUUUUCCUUUUUUUUUCUUUUCUUUUACCAUUAGGCUUCUAAUAAUUAGACUUUCAUUCUUUGGAGAGUUCGCUAGAUACUUUGUGUUCGUAUGAAGAAUCAGUUUAAUGGGAUUGAUUUGAAGACAUUUUUGGUCACCAGAGAGCAGACACUAGAGUGUCAGUUAGCCUAAAUGGAUAUAUGGUAGAACAGGGAUCAUUUGAACCACUUUUGAAACUGAUGCAAGAUGGUUAGACAGCGUUAAGAAAGUUGAGGUAUCUCUUUUGAUCAAUAACAACAGAAGAUCACAUCAUUCACAUGUUAUGCUAUAGCUGUUAAGGCUAACAAACUAAGAAUCAAGGCAGGUUGACCACUGUUUGCGAUCAAGAGGUUUGAUCUCUUCAAUUUGAAUCUUGAUUUGUAUUUUUCCUUUUGUUUCCAUAGACCUUUGGAAUACAAUCACAGUACACUCACAUGAUAUGAUCUCAUAUCAUAUACCUGUCAUCCUCUAUUAAGGUGCAGAUCCAACAGAAGAUGGAUAUGAUUAACAAGAUUGAAAAUUAGAAGAGUCUUUCUUCAUUUAGAUUUGCUGGAUUCUUCUUGUUUUUAUUUUUAUUUUUAUUUUUAUUUUUAUAGUUCUAUGGGCUUAAAAUGGUCUGUAUAAUAUCAUUUGACCUUCCCAACAAUUCUUGUGAGAUCAAUGUAUUCUCCUUUAUUUUUUACUUAACAACAUUUUCACCUUUUUUCUCUCUCCUUUUUUUCUGCGGUUUUCUUCCGGUUUUAUAAGGGACUGUUUCCAAUGCAUGGAAGGCAAGGAUACAAUUCUGCCAAUUUUUUAUCGUGUGGAUCCCUGUGAUGUAUGAUAUCAGAAGAAUAGUUAUGAAGUGGCGCUUAAGUUGCAUAAGAGCAAGGCAAGACAUGGCAUGGAGAAGGUGAACCCGUGGAGAGCUGAUUUAACAAAAAUGAGAAAUCUCUCUGCUACUGAGAUUGCUGUAUGGAUUUGUAAACUACGUACUACUGUACUAGUAUCAUUUUUACCUCUCCGAAUCACCCUGCAUAUUGUGUGACAAUAUCAGUGCCUCACCUCUUGCUUCAAAAUGGUCCAGCAGCUGUAGCUGUUAACUGUCAGAAGAUGCUGCAGGAUACUGGUGACAGAGGAGCUCUAGAACUGUCGUAACUUUAUAUAUAUUCUAGAUUACCCAUUCAGCUCAAAGUUAGGACAUAUAUAUGCUUAUAGGUCAGGAAAUAUUCUUGUAAAUAAAUUCAGUCUUAGGUGUAAGAGAUGAGUUAGUAAAAUCCAAAAUUUUCAGAGCUUCAAAUUCUCUUUGUUCAUCAAGCAAAUCAUAUCAGAGGGGGGUGUGUUUAUUUGUGUGAUAAUGGGUACGAAAACUAGUUAUUUGGGCUUUUGUGGAUCAAACAUAUAUGAGAAGCCAGGCCCAAACAACUACAUGGGUCGGGCCCGGAGUCUUCUUCAUCCAUUGCCGAAAUGCGGGAACUAUAGAAGUGGCCGCUAGCUCUUGACGCUCCGGUUUCCGCGCGUGGAGAGUACACGCCUGUCAGCUCAAAACUAUCAUCGUCUCCAUUCUCGGAUGAAAAUCAGGAUUGAGUUGCCUGCGUUCUUGUUAAGGUACAAGUGACCUCACUUUGUUUACCAUUCUUGUUCCUUAAUUUACUGUGUUUCUGCAUGUGUGUGUAUAUGAUCAAUUUAUGGGCUCUGUAUUUGAUUUGAGUUAGUUUGAUUGGAGAUCAGUUACUGGUUGCUUAGUUUGUGUUGGAUUUUCUAUCCGACUACAAUUGAUUGGUUGAUACUAGUUUCAUGUACAUCUCAAUGCUGGGUCGUUUUGUGUUACUCUGAUUUUCGAAACAAACAGAAAAACAUCUCAAUGUGCAAUCAGAGAUGGCCGUUUAAUUACAUAUGAUUAUCUUAUUGGCCGGCAGCAAGUUGAGAUAUUAUAACAUCUGGGUUUGGUGUUUUUUCAAGCAAUAGGUUUUAAGUACUUGACAUUUUUGUAUCAUGACAUUUUCACCAUGUGAAACCGAUAAUUAAAAUCACCUUAUUCAGAUAACUAACUCAUUUAAAAUACUUCUGUGGCCAAGUUGUUAGUUAUCUAUGUCAUGGUUGUUAACAACUUUCUUUUGGGUUAAAUAAUUUUCACAAGCUUUUGCCUUUCGUGGGUUCCAAUGAGGCAAUGACCUGCAAUAGGAGACAUUAUUGGAUCUCUUGUUGUUUCCAGUCACAGUCUCACAUUCAGUCUUCUUCGUCUCCUCCCUUCAUUGCUUCUGUCUGGAAAUCAGUUGCUGGUUUUCAAUGGCCUCCUCCUCUUCAUCAUCGUCAACUCGCAGCUGGAAGUAUGAUGUCUUUUUGAGUUUCAGGGGUCCUGACACUCGCAAAGGGAUUACAGCCCAAAUACGCGAUCGACUUCGUAGAAGUGGCAUUAUAACGUUCAUGGAUGAACCAGAUCUUAGAGUAGGGGAUACCAUUUCGCCCACUCUCAUAAAGGCAAUUAAAGAGUCGAGGUUUGCAAUCGUAAUUCUCUCGCAAAAUUAUGCUUCUUCUACUUGGUGUUUGGAGGAACUUAGAGAGAUUUGUCUGUCCAUGGAAGACAACAGAAUUUUGCCACUUUUUUUUGAAGUUGAUCCUACUGAUGUUCGACAUCAGAAGAAGAGUUUCGAAGAAGCUUUCUCUAAGCAUGAAACCUCUGGCCGACAUGAAUCAGACAAGUUGAAUCAAUGGAGGGCUGCCAUAAGCAAAGUGGCCAAUAUCUCAGGGUGGAACACAAAUGAUUAUAAGUAAGCAUUGUGCCUUCAAUUUCAAUUCUAUUAAUUUUAUCAAUUAAUAUCUGUGAUUCAAUUUUUAUUCUUCCCACUCUUUUAAAACAAUUGAGCUCCCAAGACAGGACAAAACACACGAAACACAAUUAAAAUGACAUUUUUAUUUUCAUUAUUAUUUUUCUUUGUUAUCGGUCAUAAUGUAAACAACAACAACAAAAAUCAAAAUUAUGCAGAAUACGUAAAGUUGAUGAUUGUUUCAUUUUCUUUACUUUAGUAAUGCAAGUUACAAACAACAUUAUGGACACUCCUCCUAGAAUGUUGCUUUUCUGUUUAAAUCUAUAAUUUUAAUAGUAAUUCUUUUUUUCUUUUUCUUUUUUUGAUGCAACAGAACAUCUGGUUUACAAUCGUGAAGUCUCUAGCUCUGCUUCUGACUUCCAUUGCAAGAAGUAAUCUAUAUAUUUUACCUAACACUUAAGUUUUAAUCCUUAUAACUCUUUAAUUCUUCCUUGUAGGACUCACGAAGAACUUGUUGACAAGAUUGUGGAAUCUCUCCGCAGUGAAGUACCACCAGAUGCAAUUGAAUUCACAGAUGAUUUCCAAGCAUUUGGAGCAACAAAAGAAGCGACAGACAAGGUUAUGAAGGCGCUAACAGAUGACAAGAUUACUGCCGUUGGUGUCUAUGGCAUGGGCGGCGUUGGAAAGACAAGCAUGGUGAGACAUGUAGCUGCACAAGCCUGCAGAAAUGGUACUUUUAACCACUGGAUUAUGGCUGUCGUAUCCCAAAACCUUGACUUGGAAAAAGUUCAAGGUACAUUGGCAGAUUUGUUGGGCUUUAAAUUCGUCGAGGAGACAGAAGCUGGAAGAGCAAAUAAGUUGCAUAAGGAGAUCAUGAGAAAAGAAAAACUCCUGAUAAUUGUGGACGAUGUUUGGGAGAGAACAGAGUUGUCAAAGAUAGGGAUUCCCACCUACAAUGAGCUUCAAAAGUGCAAGUCCAAAGUGCUACUCACCACCAGGAGAUUGAAUGUCUGUAAUGCCAUGAAGUGCCAUGAAAAGAUCAGCCUCAAAGUUCUCUCAGAUCAAGAUUCUUGGACCUUGUUCGUGAGAAAUGCAGGAACAAUUUCUUUUGAGCCCACCUCAUUUGAGAAAGUGGCAAGGAGGGUAGCUUUAGAGUGUAAGGGUCUACCGAUUGCAUUGAUAGCUGUUGCAAGGGCACUCGGAGAUGAGGACCAGGAGGAAUGGGAGAAGGCAGCUAACAGCCUAGAGCAGUCGCAAUAUGUCAAUCCCAACCAUGAGGAAGAUGAGGAAAAUGCGUUCAGUUGUAUACGAUUAAGCUAUGAUUACUUGAAAAAUGACGACCACAAGUCAUGCUUCUUGCUCUGUUGCCUGUUCCCAGAAGACCAUGCCAUCUACAUAGAAGACUUGUUCCGGUACGCGAUCGGAAAAAGAUUGUUUCGAGAUGCGAAAACAAUGGAAGUAGCCAGAGGAAGAUUAGUUACAGUGGUCAAGUACCUGAAAAAUUCUAGCUUGCUUUUGGAUAGUGAGGAAAAAGGAUGUGUAAAGAUGCAUGAUGUCAUCCGGGAUACAGCCAUUCAAAUUGCCAAAUCUGAAGAUUGCCAUCGGUUUUUGGUGGAAGCUGGUCGUGGUUUAAAGGAUUGGGCUCCACGGGUAUUGCAUGAAGGCUGCACUGCAAUUUCACUGAUGAACAACAAAAUUCGCAAGCUACCUGAAGAAGAGUUGGUAUGUCCAAAUCUCCAGAUUUUAUUACUAAACGGGAAUGCUGUACUAAGUGAGAUCCCCGAAAAGUUCAUCCUGAAUCUGAAAGAGUUAAGGGUCUUGGAUCUUAGUUACACUGAUAUUUCUGUAUUACCCCAAUCAUUUAGUCUCCUCACCAACCUCCAAGCUUUGUAUUUAAAUGGUUGCGACAAAUUGAUUGACAUUUCUGUUGUGGGGAAACUUAAGAAGCUUGAAAUUCUUAGUAUCAGAGACUGUUCCAUGGGGAAAUUGUCAAGAGAAAUAGGACAUUUGACCAAUCUAAGGAUUUUGGACGUCAAUUCCUCUGCGAUACGAUUCAUAAUUAGAAGAGGACGGCUGAUGUGCACAUUUCCCUUUACAAUUCCAUCUAAAGUGAUACCAAAGUUGCAUGAAUUAGAAGAAUUAUACAUGGUGUACUGUGGCUUUGAGGAGAACGGGUGGUGUGUAGCUGAGGGACCAACAGAAACAACCAAUAUUAUUAGGUUUGAUGAGUUAGCUGGUUUAUCAAAUUUGAAAAUAUUGCAGGUUGGCUUAUCCGAUGAAAGUUUCAUCCCUAAAAAUGUUGAGGUCGCACCAGAUUGGGAUUACUUUUGUAUAACUAUCAACGGCAGAUACCCCAACUCUGUAUACGAACAAGGAGAUCAUAAUUCAAGAUCCUUGUUUCUUAAUGGAGCAACCAUCAGUACCUUGCCUGAUUGGUUUAUCAAAGCGGUGACAGAGAAAACAGAGAAGCUAGAGUACAACCGUUGCGGAGGGAUGAGUGACAUUGUUAUGGAAUAUGACCAUGGCAGGUUACAUAAACUCAAGCAUCUCACAGUUGCUGGGUGUGCUCGUGAUUCUUCUUAUGUGUACUUGAAAGAGUUGGUGAACACAACAAGACGAGUUGAAACCGGACCCGUGUUUGAGAAUUUGGAAGAGUUGCAUCUGAAAUUUCUGAAGCACCUGGAGGAGUUGUGUGUUGGUGAGUUACCACCUGGGUCUCUCUCAAAUCUCAAGGUGUUUCAUGUGUUUUCGUGUACGAUUUUGAGGAGUGUAUCAGAAUUUGUACAGAGACUACCAAAUCUGGAGAAACUAGAUUUAAACUAUAUGGUCAAAUUGGAAUAUGUGUUUAGAUACGAAGGGUUCGAGCCAGAACAAUCAAAACUGAGGGAGAUGCAUUUGUUGCGUCUAGAAGCACUAAGAAGCAUAUGUAAUGGUCCCGCUCCACAUGCAAUGUUCCAGAGUCUUAAAAUUUUGACCAUUGACCGUUGCCUGCUGCUGCAAAGUCUGUUCGCAUCUGAUGUAGCGGACUGUCUUGUUCAAUUGGAAGAACUUCUUGUAGUGGAUUGCCCUUUGUUGGAAAGAGUAAUGGAAGCAGUGACCAAGGCGAAGACGGUUCUACCAAAACUGAAGAACUUGGGUUUGAUGAAUCUUCCUAUGUUGUAUGGUCCAAUUGCUGCCGUUGAUAUUGAGUGUCCUUCAUUGGAACACUUGAUGGUGGAGGAUUGCCCCAAGCUUUUAUUUUCAACUUUUUCCGAUCUCUUCAAAGCCUUCAAAAGCAGGAACCAAUUUUCAUUUUCAGCCUCGGCGUGUCAGGUAUUGACGUAUUUACUUUGUUUGUUCUUUUCUUCUGUAUUUUGUAGGGCAGCAAUUGGGCAAAAACUGAUUUGAUUCAGUUUUUAUUCUUCCCACGACAAGACAGAACACCACGAAGCACAAUUAAAAUAACAUUUUUAUUUUCAAUCUUAUUUUUCUUUGUUAUCAGUCAUAAUGUGAACAACAACAACAAAAGUCAAAAUUAUGCAGAAUGCUUAAAGUUGAUGAUUGUUUUGUUUUCUUUACUCUAAUAAUGCAAGUUACAAACAACAUUAUGGACACUCUUAGAAUGUUACUUUUCUGUUUAAAUCUAUAAUUUUAAUAGUCUUUUUUAUUUUUUGUCCUAUUUUGAUGCAACAGAACAUCUAGGUUCCAAUUGCGAAAUCCCAAGUUCAGCUUCUGACUUCCAUUGCAGGAAGUAACCAAGUUCAACUCUAUUUCUUUGUCUAGGUAUGCAAUGUGAUCAACUGAAUUAUUUUCUUUUCAUUGAAUGGUAGAUUUCUUGUGAUGCCACAUAUAUAAACUAAAAAUGUUACUUUUUUCUAAGAUAAUGGAGUUCUCAUAAUUCAUUUGCUUUCCCAAUCUUCUGUGUAUUAGUGAUUCAGUGCAACAAACAAAUUUUAACUUCAGUUUUCUUUUCCGCUCCUAUAUUCUUAUUUUUCUUUUUAUAAUUCGUCGUGAUCAAUCAUUUCUUUUUUCUAAUUUUGAUAAGUAAUUGAUGAAAGAUAUUAAAUUUGUGAAAGAAAAACAAUGUCACACUGAAAACUUUGUACCAAUGAGGAUUGUUUUGUUUUCACUACUUGCUAAUACAAAUUACUGAUUUACUGGUAUAAGAAAAUGUCUGGUUUGAAACAAAUUUCAAUCAUGAUGAUUGCAUACAUCAUGUUUUAGUCAAUUCAUUCAGUCCUCAUAUAUGUUAAAAUAAUGACUUAUUUGACUUGAAGGUUGUAAAUGGACAAGUAUACUCUGCAUAUGAAGCAGAAAUUCGUGAUUUAUGAAUGGGUACACUAUUUAACACACAGUAGUACACACACACACACACAACAAAAAUGAUGAUGAUGAUAAAUUAAGUUACAACUCAUACCCCCAUUGCUCUCUUUCACUCUUUGUUAUUGAGUUUAUCUAGUGUAUAGAAAAUAGAGUUAACAAAAGACUAGCAUCUACGAAAUGAGAACCUAAAUAUUGUUACCAAAUUCGAGUUUCCUUUGAUGCAGCAUAUUAAGCCUAGAACAAUACACACACUAUGCAUCACAGUACGUACCACUCUCCAGCUCCAACAGAAAAUCUUCAGAAAGUAUUACCACUGAAACCGGCAAAAUAAGCUUACACAGAGUUUGCAAGAGCAGCCCUGCUAUUACAACACAAUACAGUAGUGGAAAUUACAGCUAACUAUACAUAUCCAAUCUAAAUUAAUUGAUUAACACUAUUGUGAGGUGUGAACUAGAAACUAACGGUCACAUUGCCGAAAAAAAUGAACCCUUCUGUGGAGGAUCACUCGCCGGUGUUGUUGGAUGGCUUCUGUUAAGAAUUUGGCACUAGCCGACCAUUGUACAUCUUCUCAAGUAGCUGCUUUGCAUCAGGCCUCCUGAGAAGAUCUUUGUUGUUUGGUACACCAGUCCCUAAACAUACGGGGCAAACGAGUUUCCCAAGACCUGACAACAAGAAGAACCGAUCACUCAUCAAAGAAAAUGAGUAUCCAUUGCAAUAGGAUACCACACAACAGAAUGUUGAUAUGGGAGGGAAAACAACGACUCCAAUUUCACAACUAUCUGCUAUGGUUUAUGACGAUUCUUGUUUUUUAUUUUUUAUUUACUUGAUUCAGUGUCUGAUGACUGCAAAUGCAACAAAACUGUGAUAGUGUAUCGAUGUUUAUUAAUAUGGAACAAAAACAGAAAUAUGAGUCUCAAUGGGAAUUCAUACCAUAACAAUUUGGACAUUCUGUAAACUCAUACACAUCUUUAGCUCGUUUUCUGUUGAGAGAUUUCCAUUUUCCCGUACCACCACACAUAUCACCUGAAUAAAAAGCAAAAGAACAACUCAGCGACAAGCGUAUAUCGUAUACCACAUGUAAACAGUACAUCUAAACUACAAGGGAAAAGAUCAACAGAAAACGAGGCAUAAUUAAAGGAGAAGAAGCACUGUGUGUCUCUCCUAACAAAGCCAAAGCAAAAACUUUGAGGCAUAAUUAAAGCAUCUCAAUUAUUUAUAUCUAACCAGGACAACUAUAUUUGAGAUGAAGAUAACGAACACCAGGAAACCUAUUACCAACAAAGAAAACAGGGACUCGUAUAUGAAAUGAUUAUGAGAAGUGAGCUGGUACAGUAUUUGUAUUCUGCAUUACGUUUCGUAUCAAACAGACAAUUACAAUGCAGCGUGCAAUUAUAGCCUAGUGUUCAUGAUCUUAGACACCUAAAGCAAGUAAAAUGCAGUUAGCACGGUGCUCGUGAUGCACAGUUCCAAGAGUGAUCCAUCAAUUGGAAGGUAUGUUAGAUUUGGUCACAGUAGGUAAACAGCAUACUAUACAGCAAAGAAAUCAUAACAUAUCAUAGUUCUAUAUAAGGACUCAUGAAGCAGAAAAUGCACAUGUUUUGAAGUUGGAUUUUCAGGAAAACCCUUAACAUAACUGCAAAUUCAAUUUGAAGUUUAUCUAUCUCUUAUAAGCUUCAAGUUUUAUCUGGAUGGAUAAUAACUCACCGGUUGAAGGCAGGGAUCAAAACUAGACCCAUGAGAUUCAAGGAAACCAUUAUGCACAAGUUAUUGAUACGCCUUCAUCGUAAAACUCUGAAUUGGAUUUACUACAUGAACCCCGAAGCUCCCCAUCCCUGUGUACUUGACACUUGCAAUACCAUAUUCAAACUCAAAGUUAAAAAGAAAGCUAUUGGAACAUGGCGUUAAGCCAGUGCCAGCCUCGCUGAGCCGUCUUAUUGUUGUAUUGGAUGGAAUAUAGUGCAACCACACAUUACCACACAACUUCCACCAAUGGUGGUCUUCUUCCAGCCCUUGAAUGAUGCACACACCAUUAAUGUAGAUUGUACGUAAUCUGAGAAAUGAAACCCUGUAGUAGCAUACAUCAGUCUGAUGAUGAACAUAGAAUGCCAGUCCUCCUUUGCUUUCCCAUAAUUUGAAAUUUCCAGGAAUGUCAAUUUUGAACUUGUAUACUUCGACUCCUUUCCCAUAGUAUAUACCCUUAGGCUGGGGCAACCUCUGAAAGCUCAUACGACAGGUGAACCAGUCUGGAAUUUCACUUGCUGCAGGAAAGCAAUCCUGGAAACUAGAUUGCCAGCAUGAAAGAAACAGAGACAGCAGAGCUGAGACCUCUGAAUUAUCCCCCGGUAAAGUAUUCUCUUUCUUCAUCUUUGCCAAGUAAUCAAUGGCCAGAUUGCGGCACAGCGUAUGCAAAGAUGCAACUCCAUCCAGGGGAUCAUUUUUGACUCUCUGCCUUCCACAAUGUUUGACAGACUUGAAAUUGUUCUCAACAAGACGCAACCCCUUGUGUCUAAGGACUCUAAGCCAUCUAUUUCUCACAGGAACUCUAAAAUUUCCACUAGAUUCCAGCACUCUGUCAAAUUGAUGAACUCUUGAGAAUCAUAGCGUAACUUUAUUGUCUUUAACUCACACUUGGUUGGAAAUGUAGCCAGAUUGUAACAAUUGGUCAAGGUGCUUCAGAUGUUGUAACUCAAGAAUGCUGCAGGGAACAGUUGUUACGCUACAGCAGUUUGUCACAACGUAGCUCUUCAAGAUUAAUGAGAAAUCUAAUUGAUGAAGGAAAUCCUUUGAUGCCAGUACGCCCUAGGUCCAGGCUUUUCAAGGAUCUCAUCUCUUCGACAAUUUCAAACUUCUGAAGUUUCUCACAGCCACUGAGGUUCAGGUUGACCAGAUUCUUAGCAUUUCCAACCUCAACUUCAACUAAAUUUGUACAAUGACUUAGAUUCAAGUCCACUAAAUUCGGGAACAUAGACAAGCCACUGAUCUUUCUUACACCAUAAGAAUUUGACAUGUCGAUAGAUUUCAAAUUCUGCAUAAUCUGCAUAUGUGAAAAUAUUAGAAAGAAAUUAUAAUGUCAUUUUAAUCAAACAGCAUUAGACCAUUAAUAGUAAAAAUUACCUUCGGUGCCUCCCCCAAAGGUGAUGUUUGGCGGCUAUGAUGCAUCCUUAGUACAACAAGUUUCUUGGGAUAAAAACUAGGCGGAAACGACAGUAAUGGACAAUAAUCCCAAACUAGGAGCCUCAAUUCGUUGGAGAGAUAAUUUAUAUGAUCUCCAGUGAAGGAGCCUCCAGUGUAAAAAUCACGAGGGCUUACAAAGAUUUGAAGAUUUUUCAUCUUUGAGAAGCUAUCAGUGUUCAGAUGUAUCUUUUCUCCCCUGCAAUUCAGGUCAUUGAGCAUGAUGCCUCGAACUUUAUCCGAUCCCUACAACCAAAAAACAAAAAUAUUGUUAAAAGCUCAAUGUGUCUCAUAGAAUUUCACAUAUAUUCUCAGUUCUGUAUUGUACAUAGAAGACGGUCUUCAACUAUUGAUAUGGGAUAUAUCACUUACUGUGUUUUCCAUAAAAACUCGGUAAACAUCCUCAUAUAGCCAUAAUCUGCUACGCUCUCCAGGCUCAGUAGGAGACUCUUGACAAACUAUUUCUUUCCCCAUUUUCUCUAGCAGAUCAUGCAUCAAAAUGCAAUUCUUUUCAUUGAUGCUUAUGAGGGCCUUUUCUGUGAGUGCUUCAAUACCAUAUUCAGGAUUGAGAUCGCAUCCUCUUAGAAUAUCUAUCACGUAGUUCUUAGCUUUUCCGUUAAAGAAACAUGCAAUGUGAAGAAAAAUCUCUUUUGUCAAACCAUCCAGUGCAUCAUAGCUUCUUCUGAGGAUUUCUUGAAUCUCUUUCUUUGGUUCUGUUGCAUAACCAUCUAAUGCAACUUUCCAUUGAUCUACAUUUCUACCACGGAGAUGUGAACCCAAAACUACCAAUGCUAAGGGAAGCCCUUGAGCAUAAAGAGUUAGAUUAUCAAUGAGUUCAACAUAGUCAUCCAUAUUUUGGUUUUUUUUAAAGGCAUAUAACUUGAAGAGCUCUAAAGCUUCAUGAUGACUCAACUUCUCCAUUUUGUAUAUAUAAUUGACAUCAUGAGCAGUAAGCUGACCCUUAUCUCUUGUUGUGAUGAUUAUUCUACUACCUGAACCAAACCAAUCAGACUUUCCGACUAAUUUAUCUAACUGGUUGAAAUCAUUCACAUCAUCAAGAAUUAAGAGAACCUUUUUAUGGCACAACCUUUCUUUUAUGAGAGUGAUCCCUUCAUCAACACUAGUAAUCCUUAAUUCUUUCUCCUUGAGAAACUUAGAAAGAAGAGAAAUUUGCAAUUCAACUAGGCCUCCAUAUCUGAUUGAUCUCUCUCUAACAUUUUCCAGAAAACAGCUACCUUCAAAGUUAUGAGCAAUUGAAUUAUACACACCUUUAGCAAUCGUUGUCUUUCCGAUUCCACCAAUUCCCCAUAUCCCCACCAUGCGGACAUCAUCUUCUCCAACACAUAGAAGCUUAAGCACAUCCUCCACACGAGGCUCUAUUCCAACAGGGUAUUUUGCCACGCUUAACUGAAGGCGAUCUAAUAGUUGUGCUGAUAUCCGUUCCACGAUUGUAUCGAUGAAUGUAGAUUCAUGACUGCCAAUGAGAAGCACUUGAUUAUUGGUUCAAAAAAGUAUAGCAGAUAUUAUGAGUUUAGCUUACAAAGAAGACUACAGCUACCAUGCAAGCAGAGCUGUUCUUGUACAAGUACCUUCCAUUAAUGAAAUGCAGGCCAGAGAGAUUUGAUGCUUUAGUAAGAGCUUCUCUCCAUCUCAUGACUUUCUCCGAGUUGUCUUUUAAUCUGCUUUCGUGGUGAGCUAGUGCUAGGCCAAAACCACCUCUUUGAUGUCGUACAUCCGAUGGAUCUACCUUGUAAAAAACAGGGUAAACCAGUUGUUGCUUUGAUUCUUUACAGUCAAGAAUGCUGACAAGUUCUUCCAAGCACCACCCAGAGGAAGCAUAAUUCUCCGAGAAGAUGACGAUAGAAAUUCUGGAUUCUUGAAUUGCUUUUUGAAGGGCAGGUGAUAUCUCAUCUCCUGUGCCAAGUCCUUCAUUGUCAAUGAAGGUUUUGAUUCCUUUUUGGUCCAAAUUUCUGCACAGAUGGCUUACAAUAUUGUUGCGUGUAUCCACACCUCUAAAACUGAGAAAGACAUCAUAUGUCCAUGAGUGAUGAUCAUGAAUGGGAGAAGAAGAAGAAGAGGAGGAACAGCAAGAUGCUCUGCCUUGUUUCUUGCCAAGAACUGAGCGGAGAUGGAAUCCAUAUUGUUUGAAAAAAUUAGCAUGCUGGGGAUACUUGAUAACCGAAGCUGAUUGAAUGAUGAGUUUGUUAAAUGAGGGGUUAUUGAAUCGGCUGUGAUUUGGUUUGAACUUAAAUUGAGAGGAUAUGAUCAAUGCUUGGGAGGACAACAUGAUCUAUCUUCGAUCGGGCUGAGAAGUUGACCAACUAUAUAGUUGAGGGUGCAUGUGAGUUGGGGGUGCAUGUAAUUGCCUAGUAAUACUAAUACCAAUAGAUCCUCUCACAUUUGACCAUUUCAACCAGUUGAAAGGCCCACUACUCUUUUUUGUUUUGUUUUUUUUAGUAUGAAAGGCCAACUAACCAACUAAUUAAUGAGGUUUUUACAAUUAUAUUAUUAUAAUUACCACUAGCAGACUCCUACCUAGUCUUUCUCAGGCACAAGCAAAACUAACAAGGAUCGAUACCCAUCAAAGAAAAUGAGUAUCCAUAGCAGAAGAAUACAACACAACAGAAUGUUGAUAUGGGAAGGGAAAAGCAAGGGCUCCAAAACUCCACAUUUAUAACAACUCAUACGUCUGACCAUCAUAAUUUCUGUAUUAUUUCCUCUAAGAGUUCACAUUUAUAACAACUCAUACGUCUGACUAUCAUACUUCCGUAUUAUUUUCUUUAAUCCUGACAGUUCAUGUAUGUACAAUGUAUGUGAAGAUACACUUCGUGUAUUAGAGAUGUUCUCUAUGGUUUAUGACGAGUCUAUUUUUUUAGUUUCUAAUGACGAAAGUUGCAACAAAACUGUAAUAGUGUGUCGAUGUUUUUUGCAGGAUAUAUGGAACACAAACAGAAAUAUGAGUAUCAAUGGGAACUCGUACCGUAACAAUUUGGACAUUCUGUAAACUCAUACACAUCUUUAGCUCGUUUUCUGUUGAGAGCUUUCUAUUUUCCCGUACCACCACACAUAUCACCUGAAUAAAAAGUAAAUGAACAACUCAGCAACAAGGGUAUACCGUAUACCACAUGUAAACAGUACAUCUAAACUGCAAGGGGAAAGGAUACCCAAAUAAUGUAUGCAUCAAGGUUUAGUUGAGUCAUACAGGAGAAGAAGCACUGUGUUUCUCCCCUAACAAGCCAAAGCACAAACUUUGAGGCAUAAUCUAUAGCAUCUCAAUUAGUUGAGUCUAACCAGAACAACUACUAUUUGAGAUGAAAAUAAGCAUUUAAGAACACCAGGAACCAAUUACCAACAAAGUUAAGAGGAACUCAUACAUAAAGUGAUUAUGGCCAAUGAAAAACUUAAGAGUUCGUUUUCUAGCUGAACCUUCAAACCAAUAUAAUCUAUACAUCAUUCUGAGAAGAAAAGAAAAAAAAAAUAAUAAUCUAUACAUAACUUAUCUGCACACGCAGAUAUUUGGCUAGAAAUACAAUACCACAGGAAUUAUAAAAUCGGGAUCAUUUCCAAGUUCCAACCAUGAAUAACAAAACGCAACAUCUAUACUUACAAAGCACAGCUCCACAAUUUUGGCAGACUGGUGGUCUGUGUUUUCCAUCCAGUGCAACUGCCUUUAGAGAGUUGCUUAUCAAACCACCAGCUAACAUAGACAAGUGAGACACAAUCGUCAAGAGAUUAAGACCUCAGAUCUUUAAUGUUAAAACAUAUCCAUGGUAAUUUACAGUAUUGUUUUUUUUUUCUAUAAAAACUUAAACGGUAUUUUUUUUCCCGACUAACGGUAUUGGUUUUGAAAGCCUCCAACACCAAUCAGACAAUUCAAACUAACAUUACAAUAUAUAUAAAUAUAUAAACAAUUAGGUUGAAAGGGCCACCAAGUUUCAAACCAGGAGAUAGUUUCUAUCGACUUAAAAAUCCUAUCUAACUGAAACAUUCCAUCAGAAGAUAUCAAAGCAAUGUUAAUGCCCAUAACACAGGAGAUUCAAUAGAAAGACUCUAUCUUGUCUUGAACGAAAUACUAUAUCCAUGAUUCAAGACACAGAGAUAAUGAACUUGAUCUACACAGCCCAUAAAACAGAAGAUAUUGAACAAAGCAAUAGUGUCAUUACCAACAUGCAUCAGGCUACAUGAAAGAAAUAACAAGCAUCAAGCCAACACAUACCCUUUCUCUCAUGCCAUUUUUUGUUAGAAACUAUAGUAAUCGCUUAUGAUCAAGAAGAUAGCUGACAGAAAAAAGAUCAAUACAUUCGAUGGUUUAGCCCGAAUCCCCAGGACUGCCACUCUCGUUGUCAAGAUUUGGAUCUUACAUGAAACCCAACUGACUUUGAGUUCACUGCCAAAUUUCACACAUGCAAAUGAUAGUUAAAACCAUUGCCUAAUCAACAAUAAAAUCUCUACAUAUGUUCUACUGUAUUCAUGCUUUUAUAGAUACAUACAACUAAAGAAACAGAAAAAACGAGAUGAGAGUAUUUGAAAGGAAAUGACCGGUUUCAGUUUCAGAGUGAGAAACAAGACUCACAGUGGGCUGGUGAAAAUUGCGGCAAGAGAUGAGAUGAAGAAGAAGAAGCCACACCACCUCUCUUUCUAAAUUAAGCGAAUUGGGCUUUUAGCAGGUUAGGCGGUUACAAUACACGUCAUGGCGGUCGGGCCGUGAUGGGCCUACACAGAUUGGGGAUCCACCUAACAAAGUCCAAAUUUCCGAAAAAAAAAGGAAACAAAUCAAUUUUAGUUGGGCUUUUAGCGGGCUUGGCGUAGAUAGUACAUGUCAUGGCGGUCGGGCCGUGGUGGGCCAACAUGGACAAGGGUCCAACAUUUUAAAUAAAAAAGAACGACGAGUCGUAGCUCGCCGUCUUCAACGACGGAUUGAGAGCAGUCCACGACGACCCAGCCGGGUACCAUCUUAAACUUGGUUGCCGAUUAAGCUGGGAAGUACUCUAAGCAUUUGGAUUAGUUACAACACAUACCCCUUUGCUCUCUUUCACUCUGUUAUAGAAACAGAGUUUACAAAAGACUGGCAUCUACGAAAUGAGAUCGUAGAUAUUGUUACCAAAUUCGAGUUUCAAUUGAUGCAGCCUAGAACAAUACAAACACCAUGCAUCGCAGUACGUACCACUCUCUAGCUCCAAAAGAAAAACUUUAGAAUUCAAAAAGGAUUAUCACUCAAACCGGAAAAAUUUACCAUAUUACUAAAGGAUGGCCAUAGUGUUUUUACUGUUCACUAAUGACAAUAAAAAGACGGUUAUGCCCUCCUUUGUACGGUGAAAUUACGGAUUUGCCUUUUUUUUUUUGUCGUGUCUCUUAAACUUUUCUUCUGAUCUCUCUCGAUCACUCUCACUCCAUAAAGUAUACACUGCGUCAAGGUGCAGACACUAAUUCUAGUAUGCUUACAGAAUUUGCAAUAAACAGUAGUGGAACUUACAGCUAGCUACUCAGCCUCGAGGGUCCCACCUUUAAGAGGGAGAAUAGCAAAGUCAACGAACUUGAAAUUUGUAUUUGCUUGGGCCCAAGAGGGAUAGGCAGAACCCGAUCACGUCAUGGCAGUUGCCAGGAAAGUGGGCCUACCGGGGCUGGAGGGUCUCACCUUUAAAAAUAGAAAUAAAAAAAUGUAAAAAUUAAAAAUAAAAAGAUGUUUGACCUCUCUCUCUCUCUCAGACCGGUUGUGUUUUCAGUUUCAUUUUUGUUCCAGUUUUUCGACCGCCAAGUUCUAUUGUUUGUUUCAAUUAUCAAAGGAGGCGCCUUUCUCGCCUUUCUCGCCUUUCAUAGAGUUGACUAGAACCAAAAUGUAAUGAAUUUUUGACUUUUUCUUCUUUACUGAGUCUGUUAAUGGAAUUGUUACUGGGUUCUCUCGGUUUUGUGAUAUUUUGAGCUGUGAGAUUGUUUGUAUGAACUUGGAUAGUUUAGUAUUGAGCUCCAUAGGAAUCAUUGAAAUAUGAUAGAGUUGACUCCGGUUGAGAUAGAUUGCUUGGUUUGAGCUGAAUUAUAGGCCAAAAAUUUGGAAUGUUUUUCUAAAUUUGAAGCAGAUGAAGUUUGUAUUAGUAAUUUAUAAUGUGUGGUUUGUAUUGGGUGCAUUUUGUAGAUGGCUUGAUGGGAUGAGAUUCUGUCGAGUUUUUUUUUUUUUGCUGAAACUAGGCUUUUACUGAUGUGCAUGACUAGUCACCUCACUCAGUUUUGUUAUUUUAUCAGUACAUCAUUAUCUCGGUGGGGAUUGCGAAAUGGUGGAGCACAUACCUGAAGAUGUGCUAGUGAAGAUCUUCCAGAGGUUGCCCGUCACAUCUGUUUCGAAGCGCUGGCGCUUCAUCAUUCUCCGAGACCCUCAUUUCGCCGCAGCCCAUUACCAAAUCGCUUCCCACAACAAAACGCUCAGUCACAGUGUCUGCUUCCGUUUCUACCGCGACAGUUACUACCCAUUCAGAUCUAAAUUGAAGUCGUCUUCUUCUCCGGUUGAAGAAACCUUUGCUGCCCGUUCAAGAAACCUCACAGCGUGGUUUACGUGUGCCGUUCUUGUCGUGGUAUGGCGUUUGCAGUUUUUCAUGGUAAGCAGAAGAUAGAGUGGUAUAUAUGGAACCCAUCAACUGGACUCUCCCAGAAACUACCUGAUCUUGGUGGUCCAAAUGAGUUUCUGAACUUUACUGGUUUCGGCUACGUCUCCGCCACCAACGACUGCAAGAUUCUCAUCGCCAACUCUAGCCUUAAGGAGGGAGAGCAAGCCAAGAUCCACAUCUUCUUGUCGCAAUCCAAAUCAUGGAGAAGGAUUCAAGAUUUUCCAUACUCGAACUUGUCAAUGACAAUGGCGGGGAUUCUUUGUCACGAGGCACUUCAUUGGCUGAGGUUCGAUGUUAUAGUUGCUUUUGAUUUAGCAAAUGAGGAGUUUCGGACAAUGCCACUGCCUGCCAUUAGGGAGGAGUAUGGAGGUGCCUAUUUCAGAAAUGUAGGGGACUUCUGAGGUUUUCUGUGUGUGAUUGGUCUGGCGAAUGUUACUACUAUGGAUUUGUGCGUGAUGAAUGAAUAUGAUAAGGGUAACUCCUGGACUAAGCUGUUUAACUUGAGGAUUGCCGAUCCUGAUGAGCAGAUACGUUAUAUCCAGCCAAUCUUGGUUACAGAAACUUGUACAUUUCUGGAGACACAAACUGCAUCAGGAAGCAGGCCGAAGCUGGUGAGGAGUUAUCAUAAGGAAGAGAAGAUUGAAGAGGUUCAUGUGAGGGCCGGAGUGAUUGGAUAUGAAGAGAGUCUACUUUGGCUUGAGUAAUUCGUUACUCUCUGCAUCCAAAUUCUGGUUAGUUGCUCCUCAUUUCCACUCUGUUCAAUGUAUUUUUGUUUCUUUUCUCAUUGCUACUUAUUUACUUGUUGAAUGUAUGUAACUUUUGAGUUUGUGACUUCAAAUAUGGAUAGAAAGUUACAAGUCCUUCAAAAUUUCUUGCAUUAGAAAGGUGUCCUGACAAAUGGCUUUUGUGCUUGCUUGAUAUUAUACCAUCUUACAGAUAAUAAGUAUUAACUUUGCCUAUAUAAUUUGAUGAUUGCACCCGGAGAUUGAUCUGUGCAUUCAGAUUCUGGUUAUCCUUUUGAAACUCAAACAUCAAUGGUUCCUUUUUUUUUUUUUGUAUAUUUUUUCUUUUACCAUUAGGCCUCUAAUAAUUAGACUUUCAUUAUUUGGAGAGAUCGCUAGAUACUUUGGGUUAGUAUGAGGAAUCAAUUAUUGGGAUUGAUUUGAAGACAUUUGUGGUCACCAUAGAGCAGACACUAAACUGUCAGUUAGCCUAAGCGGAUAUAUGGUAGAACAGGGAUCAUUUGAACCAAUUUUGAAACUGAUGAAAGAUGGUUAGACACACAUCAUUAAGAAAGUUGAGGUAUCUCUUCUGAUCAUUAGCAACAGAAGAUCACAUCAUCAUACGUUAUACUAUAGCUGUUCAGGCUGACAAACUAAUAGAAUCAAGGCAGGUUAACCACUGUUUGUGAUCAAGAGGUUUAAUCUCUUCAAUUUGAAUCUUGAUUUGUAUUUAAACUAUUUUGUCCUUUUGUUUCCAUAGAGCUUUAGAAUACAUCACAGUACACUCACAUGAUAUAUAUGAUCUCAUAUGAUAUACCAGUCAUCUUCUAUUGUGAUGCAGCUCCAACAGAAGAUGGAUAUGUUUAACGAGAUUGAAAAUUAGAGUAGUCUUUCUUCAUUUAGAUUUGCUGGAUCUUCUAGUUUUUUUGUUUUUGUUUGGUUGUUUUGCAUUAUAGUACUAUGGACUUGGUCUGCAUAAUAUCAUUUGACUCCACUACAAGUGAUUCCCAACAAUUCUGUGUGAUCUCUUUGAUUUUUUACUUAUUGUUUGAUCCCAAUUGUUCCCCUGAAAUAAUGAAUUGAAAGAAGUAAACUUAUAUAUGCCCCUAGAAUUAAAUCAUGCAAAAUUAGUUGAAUUACUGUAUCAACUUUUGCAUUGAAGUGGACUGAGUCAAGUUUUGAAAAUGUGUAGCAUGUUUAAUCCCCUCAUUUUGAAUGUUAUCAAGAUGACACGGUCAUGUGUAUUAUGACAUUUGACUUUCGGUGUUGAAUAUUUGUGUCUGUCGACACUCAUAAAACCCAAUGGCAACUGUCCAUGGUCUCUGAAAUUCUAAAAACUUCGAAAUGAGCAUAAUAUUCUGCAUCUUCUUUUUGCUGUUUUUCACUCAGCAACAGAUGUGAGCAUUAAUACAUGUGAAAUGGUAUUGUUGCGUAAUACAUGUGAGCAUUUUAAAUGCUUGAUUCAUUUCACUUUAAUAAUAAGCCAAAAAUAUGCUUAGCCUGAUGUUUGUUGGUUAUUAAGUUAACAUGUCUUUGUUGUAGGAAAUUUAAAGUAUACACAUGCAAGAGCAAGAGUGAGGACCAAAUGAAGUGGAACCAGUUCUGGGGAUCUUAGAUGUCUUUGGUGCAAGUCACCAUUUCCCCAAGCUAUUGUUUAUUAGAGGCUAUGCCGUAUUUAUGCAUCUCUGUUAGUAUUCUUUUGUUAAUGUAUGACGAUGAAAUGCUGAGAUAAUGUUGAGCAUUCUGUAAACUCACACACAUCUUUAACUCGUUUUCUGUUGAGCAUGGAACAUUGCUUUUAGCACGAUUUGACAAUAGGAUUGUGUUUAAACUGUAUGGUGUGAUUGUUGACAUGUUUGGUUAGCUAGUUACCACUGUGGAUUGUGUAGUUCCUUUGCUAACAAGAACUUUGUUUCGAGUCCUAAAUAAUUGAGCUCUCACACAGGUGGCGGAGGCAAUAUGUGCUUGAGGCAGAACUAUUCGGGUCUUGGAGCCACUGGCUUUGAUCACAUUGAGAUCGAGAAUGCAAGCAGAUACUCUAUUUGUCUGAACUAUGCUAAUUUAGUUGCUGAGACGUGGGUUGUUGGGAGAACACCUACUCAUCCUAUAAAAUGUUGCACUUGAACUUACAAGUAAUGUUGCACUUGAACAGAUAGGUAAUGUUAUAAAAUGAUAGCAUCUGUUAUAGUAUGUGAAACGAUAACCUAUUUGGUUGACAUUUCAUAUAAUAGUAAUCACUAAAUUAUGAUAUUCUGGAAAAAAGAAAAUUUAUGAGUUUGCAAUUACAACCCAAAACAUGGUUUGGAAACCUUCUCCACUGAAUUACUUGCUCGCUGGAGGUCUCUGACGCAAGGGAAUGUAUUUUAGGAAGUGGAGUAGGCCACCGUGGUAGCAUAAUCUGAAAUGUUAUUCCAGUAAAAUCGUGCAUCUCCAUCUUGGAACAUACCCUUGUGUGAAUGUUACACUCGUAACCUGAAUUUUUAUAUUUUGGACCUGUCUUUUUCAUUGUUAGUGCUCUUCCUCUGUUUUUUUCUGUUAGAGACACAAAACAUUUAUUUGAAUCGUUUGGAUCACAACCGAAAUACUGCAUCCAAGUAUAUAGCUUAUCAUACUGUACCCUGUCCAUUAUCGAAUAAUCUUUCCGGUGUCUCUGACCUAGUUCUCCACCGCGUUGCACCGCCAUUUGUUCUAGUUCUUCUUUUGCUAACUCCCAGACAACUAGCUUAGCUCCAUUACCGUCCUCAUUCCUAUCCACCCGCACCAACUGCAGACGUCCACGGUGUGACUGGAGGUGAUAUAAUGAAGGAGGUACAUCUCCAUCUCCAUCUUCAUCAUCAUCUUCAUCUUGAAGUUUAAUAAGAUGAAAUUGAUAUCCCGAAUCACCAUCAGCACUUUCAGCGGCAGUACUAUUAGAACAAUCGGUAGUGCUCUUGUUGUUGAUCAUCAAAGGUCCCAGCCCGAGCAGAUGACCUUCUUUAGCAAUCCAGUAUAGCAUUCCAUUGCUAGCAAAGGCGCCUCUUGGGUGCUCAGGCUGGUGCUCAGGUUUGUCAUAAAUAAGUUGGUAAUAAUCAAACUCUUUUGGACAUUCUACUAGUGACUCUCUCCACGCACCAAUCUCACUAGAGAAGACCUGAAUCUUGAAAAAAUCAUGAUCGUUUUGUACGACCUCGGGAGGAACUAUUCUCACAACCUUGAACUUAGACUCGGCAUUGAUUCUAAUUACCUUCCUUUUUCCUCGUUCUUCCUUUUGAUCAGUACUACUGUCGGCGUGUGUGUCAUCUUCUUCUUCUUCCUUAUAGUACGGCUCACAGAUGAAUCCCACAAUAGGAUCCCAGAACAAACCACAUUCAUGGAUCCAAGGAAGUUUAACAAGUUGCAUCUCUUGCUUGGACGUUCUUGGAUUGCAGAUGUAAUAUUGACCAUCAUCACACUUACAAGAUUGUUCGCAGAUAUGGUGACCGAAUCGGCGAAGAGAUCUGCAGAGAACCAAGUCGUUCCAUGUAGCUAGCACUUCUAAUCUCUCUAUCUUCUCGGUUUCGAAACUCCUAAAUGUUGCAAACAAAUCUUUGGUAAGGAGUUCAUAACCCCACCUGUUUAUAAUAGUACCAGGUAUUAGGGUUUGGUUCUGUCUUUGGAGCCACAAAAAGCGGCCGAUGAAAUCAGGAUCCGACGUGAGUGAGCGCCAACUCUUUGAGACAGACUUGCAUCGAAACACAGAUUUUGCGCAAGGCAGUCGACAAAGGAUUUCAACUAAUAAUUCCUUUGGGAUAUCAUUUAUACCGGUUGAUGAUGCUCUUUCCGGUUCUAAUCGUUUCGACUGCCUCAGGUCAUCAUCAGACGAAGGUUUCGAUGCUUCCCUAUGUUUUAUUUUGUUGUUGCUUGCAGCAUGUGUUGAUGAAAAUCUCUUGGUUCUCUUCGAUUGUCUUAGGUCAUCAUCAGACGAAGGUUCCGAUACUUCCCUAUGUUUUCUUUUGCUGCUGGCUGCAGGAUUUGUGUCACUGGUUGAUGAUAAUCUCCUGGUUUUCUUCGAUUGUCUUAGACAAUUAUCAGAAGAUAUCGAGUCUUCGCUACCUUUUCUUUUGCUGGUUGCAGUAUUGCUAUCAUUGAUUGAUGAUAAUCUCUUAUUUCUCUUCGAUAGGGGUAGGUCAUCAUCAGAUGAAGGUUCGGAUACUUCACUAGUUUUCCUUUUGCUAGUUGCAGGAUUUCUAUCCCCUUUCAUUGAUUUGAAAUCUUGAAACAUAUUCGGUAAGUUCUUCAUAUCAAUGGGAUCACUAGUCGUGUUUAUCUAUAUUAGACUCGCACGUACUGCAACAUAUGGCCGGUAUCUUAUUUUAAAAGGAAAGCUUGAAGAAUCCUAGAUGCACUAGGACAAUAGAAUCCAAAACCAUCAAGGGUUGGUAGGAUUAAUAGAAUCCAAAACCAAAACCAAAACCAAAUCCAACAAUAGAAAGGAUAAACGGAUGGAUUUCCUUCGUGAAGGAUGACAAUUCCAUAUUCCUAAACACUAAAAUUUCACUCGCAAGUCAAAUAGGAUGGUUUUAUCACCCUCUUCCUCUACACUAGUCUAGCUAAAUUAAUACCACUUCUUCGUUCAGUAUUUACUCUUCUCCUUGUCAGUCAUGCUCACAUCAAUCUAGCCGGCGAUGAAAAUCGAUACUGAUUCAGUGAUUCAAGUAAAAGUAAAAGUAAAAGUAAAAGAAAGAGGGCAAAACGUACGACUUCAAAUGAGGUAGGCAACACAAGUAAAGAGAGGAAACCUGCACACAAAAUUAUGAGUUCAAGUGAGAUGUGUACCACAAGUAAAAGGGGGAGGCUUUCCAGUGAUCAGUUCACCAGUUGUGCACCAACACAAGCGCAUCCCCAACCCCAAGGCCAAACUGGCUUGAUCUCCAACCGGACCUCUUGGUUGAUUUUGAACCGUCUUAAACACCUAGAUGAUAUUUUAUUAUUUUUCCUUUGUUUUCUGCAGACAUUUGAGGAGAAGUUUUUUGGUAUUAUCAUCAGGGGCGGAUCCAAGAAUUGAAACUAGGUGCGACUUACUUUCCACCAGAGACAAAAAAAAAAAAAUGACUGUGCGAGUACUGUAAUUUAGAUAUUGAAAUGAAAAAUACACCUAGAGACAUAGGGGAUGUAGUGAGCCUUUACCUCUCAAAAAUGUAUUAUAUAAAACAAUAUUCAUAACUCUCACUACCAGAAGAAAGGUUUUAGCCGACGAAAAUAAAAAAACCAAGCUGACGAAUUAUUUUUUCGUUAGCUAAAGUCCACGUUAGCUGACGAAAUUUCCUUCGUCGGGUAAUUUAAAUUUUCGUUGCAGAUCUGGACAACAACUCAUCGUAUGGGAAAAAAACGGGAGAAAAAGUUUGGGUGUUGUCGAAAUCUGUCCAUAAUUAGUUUGUGAAGCUAUAUAUAGAUACGUAUAUGUGUAUAUAUGUUGAUUUUGAGUUUUAUUUGAGUUGAUCGAUUUUGAGUACAUUGGAUGUAUAUAUGUGUUUGUUGAUCGAUUUGGUUGAUGAUUUGAUAAUAUAUAUGAAGAUAUUGUUAAUAAGUAGUAGAUAUAUAUAUGUUAAUUAAUUUAUAAUAUUGUGUUGAUGGUAUGAAGUUGUUGAUGAUAUGAGUUGAUGAUGAUUUUGUGAUGAUGUUGAUAUAUAAUAUUGUUAUGUAAUUAUUAAGUGUAUAUAUAUAUGUGUGUGUUAAUUAAUUUGUUAUUAAUUAGUUGUAGUACGUAGAAUACUAAAUGAAUUGAGAUUUUAUAUAUGAAAUUUAAUUAAUUAGAGUUAUACAUAUAUAUUUUGUUAUAUUUUCAGGAUAUGAAUAAGAGUUGGAUUUCGCUUUUAAAAUGGGACAAAAGAUUUGGUAAAUGAGUUAUGAGUUUUCUAGAAUAUGCGCUGGCUAAUGCUAACGAGAAUACAAUUUUCUAUUUCUCGUGCACGAAAUGUCAGUGUCUCAGCGAUAUACAUUGAUUUAUGAUUGAAAAAUUAUGACAAACACCUGAAGAGUAACGAGUUUUGAGAAAAGUACACACGUUGGUUAUGAGAUAUGUGUUUCUCCAAAAUAUUUACCAAAAUGUGACAACAUUCAUCGAUCAUGAAUUCAUAAGAAGUUCAAAAUGAGAACUUGAUAUUGAUUUCGGGGCUUAUAUCUCAGCCCGUUAAGGUUGGGUCGUCCUUGCAAACUGACCACCCAAACUAAAAGUCUCAGUCUAUCACUCAGACGCAUUGAACCGGCUGCUCUAUUUAACGCUCCUGUUCGGCGCAUGGAGGUUACCUGCUUCUUGCUUCAACUCCGUCGUCCCCUUCCUCCGCUCUGCUUGAAAUGGAGUCCGGGUAUUUUCGGUGGGUUUAAACUUGUUUGGGUUUGUCUUUAUUCUGUACGGAUUUGUGGGAUUGUGAUCGAUGAUUAGUGAUUGGGUUUAACUUAAUCGUUGUUGAUUGGGGCUACUAAACCUCAUUUCAAUUUGCUUGAUGGGAGGAAAUUGAUUGAUACUAUAUUUUCGUUGGCUUCUGGGCUCUAUAUUGGCAAUGCUCCAGUUCUUAACUAGGACACUUGUGCUAUAAGUUGUAACAAAUCAAAUGUUUUGUCUUUUGCCACCAAGAAAGUAGAAAAAGUUUGUAUUUGAGUUUCGCUGGUUUUAUUUUCGUCGGUUCAUUCUCAAACCUUGAAGAGAAAUUUUGGCUUAGUUUGCUGUCAUCAUUUUUUUGCCUGUUUUGUUUUAACUGAAGUUUCUAACUUUGGGACAUUUGCUUCUCCAAUAAACUUGCUAUAAUGCGAUAACUGUCAUCAGCAUACUUACUGUUUGUUUUUCAGGGGGAAACUCCAUGAUACCUAUGGCUUAUAAGCAGGUUUGUAUGAGCUCAUUAUUACGCACGGGCUAGCAGGACUGCUGUCCUUCCUAUGAAAGCACAACUGUUGAUGGUAAUUCAUAGUACUAUAGUCUACCUAACUACUACUCCAGUAUUGGCAGUUAAGUAUUUGUAAGGUGAUAACAUUGUUGCUAGCUUUCAGAAUUUUGGUUCCAGUUGCUUUGUUCCCUUGUUGCUUACAUAUAUUAUCCUGUAUUAUUCUUGAAAUCCAACUAAACCAUGCCUCUGGAUCGUUUUCAGUGAGUCUACUUCUUUUGACUGCAAUGAUACAAGAAUGUAUACUAUCACAGUAUGUAGUGUUCUGCAAAUUAUGUCAUUGAAAUUGAUAUAUAGAAGCACUUAAGUAUGGUUGCAUGAUCAAACUUAGAUUUGAAGAUGAAGGAUUCAUUUAGUUUCGCAGGAGCAAGAAUUGCUGUGUAUAACCAUGAAGUUGAAUUCAUUGUAAUUUAGACACAAACAUGAAUGUUGUUCAAUGCAAGAUUAAAGAGCAAUAGAGGUAUGAUUUGAAGUAUGGAAAGAUUAGCAUUGGUGUAUUACGUACAAUUUGAUUGUACACCUCUGCUGAAAUUAUAGAAACAUGGUAAAUGCUCCUAAAGUUAGCCAAUACCUGGUUAAGCUCCCUGUCUUAACUCCUUGAACAAAAAUGCUUACGGUAUCUUGUUUUUAUUUAUUUGUGCCUUGCAUUAUAAUUCUGAAGUUAUAAUUUUGAGUAUUACUGGUAGACUUGUCAUGUUGCCAAUCAACAGAGUUCAUUUCCGCAUGUACUUCAUUCGUAAUGGCUUUUUAGCACAAUGAAAUUUUCUACUUGCAUUUUAUCAAUUUGGAUUACAUAUCUUUGACACAUAAGUUUCUCUCAUGUGUCAAUAUAUUCCAAAGGUUGCUGAUCAAGCUGAAGCUGCUAAGUUGAUUGAUCCAACUGAUGUGCCAAUGUAUCAGCCUGUGAAAUAAAACUUCCAAAAGUAUUCCAGCUGCAGCCAUCCCAUAAAAUUCACGAUAGUGAACAGAUGACAUGAUCAGAAAAGUGCCUCGGUAUGUUCACCUUUUUUACCAGUCUUUACUCUUUUGAUUUGAGUCAGUAUCUAGUUGUUGCUUGUUUAUGUCUAGUUACACUUUGAUAUUGGGGUAAUUGGUCUGCAUGAAUUGUUGUGACCCAAUAUGUAAUACCACUCUUCCAUUCGAAGAAAUCAGAUUAUUUUUGUAACAAAUAUUCAUAAACAAAUUAAGGAAAUCAGAUUAGUCUUGAGUGUUGUUUGUCUGGUUGUCUAGUUUAACUGUGACAUUGAUUGGAUUCAUUAUCUCCUAUCUUUUUCUUUGAGAUACAAAUUAAAAUGUAACUAGCAUAAAGGGGGUGAUAUGUUUUUGUUUUUAUCUUUAUGCUUCCUUCAGCUUUUGAUCAUCAGGUGUUACAUGCCUGUUAGGUUUUACCGUCGGCUGAAGUUGAUGAUCCUUAUCGUUGUUGCCUGGUCUGAGUCAGUUUCUGAGUCGCUUCAUUUGGAUCUUCAAGAAUGAGUUUAGUAUUCUUGUUCUUCCAAGAAGUAUUAGCACUCAGAUUAAAUUCUUUACGAUGAAUACUUUAGUCUCUGUGCUCGUUGCAGUACCCCUUUUUUCAUGCUUAUUAUCCUGAAUACAAUUCAUCAAUCCCCUGUUCUGUUGAAUAAGGAUUUAAAGACUAUUCAUGUGCCUAUGUAUACUGUUGAUAUGAGAUAGUGUGUGUAGGAACUUUCAUAAUCUUCUUUUAAUUUCUUCUUUUGGAACAAGUGUUUUAGCUCUGUAAUGCUGGCUUUCAUGUUCUAAUUUGUGAUGAUCAGCAGAUUUGUAUUGACUGCUUCCUUUUCAUGUGCUUUUGACUGAAAAUAUAGAAUUUCCUUUUUCGUAAAACAAAUAUAUAGAAUUUUUGUUAAAUCCCAAAUUAUGUUCUCUUUGGACUGAAUGGAUGCUGUUUCUCCUGCUUCUGUAAAUGUAUGUACGUUUGUUCCAAGUACUUGUGUAUAGUGACCAAAAGGUUGAGAUAUUUACUACUGCUUAGUCAUGUAAUUUGGUUAGUGUUGAUUUCAGCUAGUUGAUGUUAUUGUGAUUGAUGCGUGUUGUAUGAUUAUCCUGGCAUUGCUUCACUUAUAUCAUUUGCCUUGUUACCAAACCAAGGUUGCAUCUUUUGAAUUCAACCAUUAAACUCCAACCAAUAUAAAUGUCAAGCCGAAUUAAACAACCUAUUUUAAAUUUGGAUGACUUGCCCUCCUUUCCAGCUUAAAAAUGCUUGUUAUCAAUUUAUAUUUUAUAUUUUGGGUGGAUGAUCCUGUGGGUUUAGGUACCAAUCGCAAAGUCACUUGAUCUAUAGAUUAGAAGAUUUGUUAUGCUGUUAAAGACAAUAUAUCAAAUAAAUUCUCCCAAUGAAGUUUACUCAUAAUAGAGAUGGUUUGAUUCAACUAGGCGGCUAUUGGGACCUCCAAAUUUGCUCAUUAGACCUCACUAUAUUGUGAAUUAUUAAAUGACAUAUAUAUUCUCAUACACAAUGACUAUUAAGGGCAAUAAUUAUACAAAAGGAAAUAUUAUAUUUAUUCUCUCUAGACUUUCCAAUUCAAUAAUAAUUGAUUACAUUCUUAUUGUUUUCCUUGUAUAUUUUUGUUUUUCAAUUUCUUUUUAUUAAAGCAUAUAUAUAUACAGCCCUUCUCGGCUGCGGAUGUCCGCACCAACGGUUUUGGUGCAAAUUUCCAUUUUUGCACCACUUUCCGAUCGAAUUUCUCAUCUCCACCGUCUAGUAUCUAGAUAAUAUUGUGUAGAUCAUCUCUGUAAAAUUUCAGCCAAUUUGGUGAUUGUUAAGGCCCUCAAACUCGAGUUUUUCUGGUAUGAACACAACCUGNNNNNNNNNNNNNNNNNNNNGGUUGUUCUUUUUCUUUUUUUUUUUUUUUUUUUAUCUGUAUCAGCUUUAGAUUGAUCUUACAUAUCAUAUUGUUAAAUACUGCAUCUUUAUCAGCUUUAGUUUAAUCUUGCAUAUCAUAUUGUCAAAUAUUGCAUCUUUAUCAUGACAUGUUUUAUCGAAUAACUAGUUAUCUAUGUUUAAUAGCUAUUGUACUUCUACAGUUGUACUAGCUUGUGAAUUUUGAAAACUUGUACUGGUGAUUUGGAGUUGGGAUAUAACAGUAAUCAUUUGAUAAUAAAUUGAACGAUGAUAACCAAAAAUUUCUAGCAAAAAUUAGACGAAAUAAUAUGUAAAAAGAGAUACCAAAUAGUAAAUAUAUAUUAAUUAUAUUAAAUAACGAAAUAUUUCAUAAAUUAAGGGCAUUUUAGGUAGUUUGGGAUAUGUAUUAAGUAUAUUACUGAAAUUAAAAACUUGAUAGGUAGUGUAUUAAGUGAGGGGUGUGUAUUAAGAUAUUAAAGGUGUGUAUUUAAAAUUUCUCUAUAUAUAUAUCUAUUGAUUGUAGAAAAUAUAUAUUUAUUAAAAUAAUUUAUUAUGAGGUAUAAAAUAGAGAUCAAAUUAUUCAAAAUAAAAAAACAGAGAAAAAAUAACACACACAAAAGAGAAAAACAAAAGUUAAAAAGAUAUAUAGAAUAGUUCAUGAUAAAACAUUUUCUUGCAUGAAAAAAAUAAUCAAAAAAUAAAGGUAGGGAUAAUGGAUGUUUAAAAAAAAAAGGGUAAAAAAAAAAAAAAACAAAGAAUGAGAGGUCUAUUGAGUGAAUAAGAUGUAAAGUAAGUAAUUUAUUGAAAUCUAUGUUAAUAAAUAACUAAGGUUAUAUUAGGAAUUUGAAAUGAGGUCUAGUGAGAAAAUGUUUAUAUUGAAAAGUAAAAAGGAGGUGUAGAGAGAAUGAGAGGUAUAUUGAGCAAAUUUGGAGGGCCCAAUAGCCGCACUCAAUUGUUGGUUACUCUGAUUUUCGAAACAAACAGAAAAACCAGCUCAAUGUGUAAUCAGAGAUGGUUUGAUUUAACUCACAUGAUUGGGGAUUCUUAACUUAAAUUCAAUCGGUUGAUGGUUUGGAGAGGAUUAGUGUUCAUACUCCUUCCAUAGCAAAUUCUGAUCUGGAUGGUUUUCUAUUAGCUUGCGAUUUCUAGUUGAUUACAAAGAAAAUCGAUUGAUGCAUAAUUGUUGGCUUCUGGCUAUUUUUUGGAGAGUCGUGUUAGAAGUUAUAACAAAUCCAAGGAUGUAUUUGUGUUUCACUGUGAAAGUUUGAGACUCCAAAUCACAUAGGAGAAAGAGCUGAGGACUGCAAUAUAUACGAUUCCAACAUGCUCAUCAAAAUUGGAUAAUGGUUCAUGAUUAUUGUUUUUUUUNUUUUUUUUUUUUUUUCUAUUCUAGUUUCAUGGCAUGUUGUAUCUGUAACCUACAGUUUGGAAGACAUCUCAUGCUCUCAUUAUAAGAGCUUUAGCUUUGCUUUUGGGACAUUUGGUUCUCAAAAAUACUUGCGAAAUGUUAUUGCUAUGUUCAUUGGCAGGGGAAACUCUUGAAAUUGUGUUCUCUGCUUCUUCUUAUGGAUAGACUCCCAUUAAUGCCCACAUUGCCUUUCCGACAGCUUGAGGAUUGGAACCUGAUUAACAAACAUGGUAAUUCCAUAUCUACUAGUAGUGUCAUUUACUGCAUUACCUGGAUUCUGCAGUUAUGUGCAUUUCAUGGGUGAUAAUAUUACAUGUGUUUUUGGUUUGUAACAUAAUUUUCACAAGACUACUAGGUUGGUUCCAAGUUUUGGUUAUUUUGACGGAUCCUACGUCUUUGGGAUCCAUGUUUUUCAUUUUUCAUUAUCAUCAUCAUCAAGAUGAUGACUGAUUGAUUAAUGUUAUAUGAUAUACACAUAUAUGAUGUUGUAUAGAAAUUUAAAGCCCUCGACAAGAUUUGAAAGCCAAAACUUUGUCAGGGCAUGAACUUGCUAGAACUUGUCAUCAAUCCUCAAGCCAAAACAGUCUGUAUCAUAUUGUUUUAGUGGUUUAGUAUUUGCUAAAGUUGUUAACUUGUGGAGUUUUGGACAUUUGGUUCUUCGAUAUUUUUGCCAAUGGAUGUGUGUAUAAUUUUAAACAUCAUUAACUGCAGUCAUCGUGGUACUAUGCUAGUUGUUCUAUGUUAUAGAUAUGAACUAGUUUCAGAUGAAACAUUAACAAAGGAAUUUUUUUUCUAGUUGGAUGGUUGUACAGGUUUAACCCUUGGUCCAAAACUAAGGUCACUUUUUUGUUUUGGUCAAGAUGUGUGGGAAAUUGUUGGUUGGUUGAUUCAGUGAGUUUAGUUCACAUACGAUCUAAUUUGGUAGGCAUAUGUACUGAUGCUUAAUAUUGAUUAGUAUGUUUAGGUGGGAAAGUAAGUAGUUUCAUAAAUUUACAAAAAUUCUCGAACUUCAGCGAAUUUCAUAGCCUCCACUUAACUUUUUCUGCAUCCAACUUUCUUCCCCUCUCUUCCAUACUGUAAAACUUUUUAGCUCCAAUAGGAUGAGAAAAUCCAUGGAAAUUAUAUAUAUUGAAACAGUCUAUUGACAUCAAUUGACUACGUGAAAUAGCUGGCAAGUGGAAAUAUAAACCUCCAUAUGAGAUAUUACCUAGUUUAGGUAAGCCUCACCCUCAAAUGGAUCAAAGAAACUAGACAGUUCUCCUUGCUAGUGAGAAAAGAAAACUGAUUGUUAUCAAUUUAUCUUUUAUAUGUGGGUUCAGUUCAGGUAUCAAUGGGCAAAGUCAUUUGAUUGAUAGACUAGAUGAUUUGUUAAAAACAAAAAUUCUCCCCCACUGUAGUUAAUUUAUUCAUGAUGGUUACAAUAAAUUCAGUGAUUUUUUCUGUUUUAAUUUCAUUUGGACUAGAUGGUUAUGGAGGCCUGUUUCAGCUACAUACACAUCAAGGCUGGUUAUCUAGCUGGGUACUCGUAUGUGAUGGACAAAAAGAUGCUAAAGGCAUCCUAACUGAGAGUGAAGUGAUCAGUUGGCAUGCUCUGGCAAAUGUCUCAAGGUAUUCUUGCCGUUGGGUUUGUAUUCUUACCAGUUUGCUGAAAUCCAGUAAGUGCUCAAUGCUCUAGAAAUAGAAUUGGUUUUUACUGGUUUCAAAAUGUAGGGUCCUCCAAAACUAAGCUCAAUGUUCAUACUUCUUAGGUCAAGAUGCCAUAGGACCCAUUAGCAAUUUAGCUCCAAUGCUUUCCCCAGCUAUUGUGAUUUCAAAAGCAAAUUACAUACAUACUGUCAAGAAAAAAAAAGGAAAAAAAAAAGAAGCAAAUUACAUAAUUAUUUUACAUUCAAGUUCAAUGGGCAAUGACGAGGAUCUCAACAGAGAUUGGAGAAUCCUAGCUAGUAAGAGUGAAGUGAUCAGUUGAAUUGGUCUUGAAUCCUAGCUAGUGGCUACCUACUAAUCACGGGGUGAGAUUAAUUAGAGAACUGUUUGAUAUCAUUUUCACACAUUUUAAAGUAUUAAGCAAGUUUCGGAUCAACUUCCAGUUUUGUAGUUUAAUUACAUAUGAUUAUCUUAUUGGCCGGCAGCAAGUUGAGAUAUUAUAACAUCUGGGUUUGGUGUUUUCUCAAGCAACAGGUUUUAAAUACUUGACAUUUCUGUAUCAUGACAUUUUCUCCAUGUGAAACCGAAGAUUAGGAUCACCUUAUUCAGACAACUAACUCAUUUAAAAUAACUUCUAUGGCCAAGUUGUUAGUUACGUAUGUCAUGGUUGUUAACAACUUCUUUUGGGUUAAAUAAUUUCCACAAGCUUUUACCUUUGGUGGGUUCCAAUGAGGCAAUGACCUGCAAUAGGAGACAGUAUUGGCUCUCUAGCUUUGUUGUUUCCAGUGAAUUGAGCAGGAAAAGUUGAUGUAAAUAUUGAUGAUACAUAUCGGUGGGAAGUUUCCAGUGAAUUGUGUCGGAAGUUGCUGUAAAUAUCCAUGGGUAGUUUCAAUGAUAUUGUCAAGAAAUAUUGCUAGUAAGAAAGAUAGUGAGUGGGACAUGAACGGGAUUUAUUGAAAUUUGAAUGCUUCAGACUUUAGUUUAAAUUAAGAACUAUUUACACAGAGACUUUAGUUUUCCAGUCAUAAAAAGAGUAGACUGAUACCAACUGCCACGAAAGACUCCUCUCUUUUCUCCGUUCAAACUAUCUCUGUGUCUUCCAUUUUCUCCAUUUUUUGUGUUAUCACGCGCUCUUGUUUGAACAGAAAGGCUUUACAUAGAUUUGUUCACUAUUGGAGUUCUGCAGCCUAGCUCUCCUGUCGACCUGUAAUAGCCGAAGAUAAUGGAUUUCGAUUUCUUCGAGGUUAGAAACAUAAGUAUUUCAUAAGUUUUACCCUGCAAUAUUUGUGAAUGUUUUGUGUUCGUUCUUCGUUGGUUUUAACUCCCUUUUGUUCUUCUUCUGUAUGUUUGCAUAUUACAAAAAGAUAUCGUUGGCGAUUGUUGCGGUAAUUGUGACAUGGACUCAAGUAAAGCGUCGGAUAAGUUACACGGUUGGAAAGUCGCAGGAUAAUCAAGUUGUGGUUGACAUGGAGGCCUCUGCAUCUCUUCCUUCUUCAUCGUCAGCAGUACUUGAAUGCAAGUAUGAUGUGUUUUUGAGUUUCAGGGGUCCUGACACUCGCAAAGGCAUUACAGCCCAAAUACGCGAUCGACUUCGUAGAAGUGGCAUUAUAACGUUCAUGGAUGAACCAGAUCUUAGAGUAGGGGUUACCAUUUCGCCCACUCUCAUAAAGGCAAUUAAAGAGUCGAGGUUUGCAAUCGUAAUUCUCUCACAAAAUUAUGCUUCUUCUAUUUGGUGUUUGGAGGAACUUGGAGAGAUUUGUCUGUCCAAGGAAGACAACAGAAUUUUGCCACUUUUUUUUGAAGUUGAUCCUACUGAUGUUCGACAUCAGAAGAAGAGUUUCGAAGAAGCUUUCUCUAAGCAUGAAACCUCUGGCCGACAUGAAUCAGACAAGUUGAAUCAAUGGAGGGCUGCCUUAAGCAGAAUGGCCAAGAUCUCAGGGUGGAACACAAGUGAUUAUAAGUAAGCAUUGUGCCUUCAAUUUCAAUUCUAUAUGUUUUACCUAACACUUAACUUUUAAUCCUUAUAUCUCUUAAAUUUUUCCUUGUAGGACUCACGAAGAACUUGUUGACAACAUUGUGGAAUCUCUCCGCAGUAAAGUACCAGCUGAUGCAAUUGAAUUCACAAAUGAUUUCCAAGCAUUUGGAGCAACAAAAGAAGCGACAAACAAGGUUAUGAAGGCGCUAACAGAUGACAAGAUUACUGCCGUUGGUGUCUAUGGAAUGGGCGGCGUUGGAAAGACAAGCAUGGUGAGACAUGUGGCUGCACAAGCCUGCAGAAAUGGUACUUUUAACCAUUGGAUUAUUGCUGUCGUAUCCCAAAACCUUGACUUGAAAAUAGUUCAAGGUACAUUGGCAGAUUCGUUGGGCUUUAAAUUCGUGGAGGAGACACAAGCUGGAAGAGCUGAUAGGUUGCAUAAGGAGAUAAUGGGAAAAGAAAAGCUCCUUAUAAUCUUGGACGAUGUAUGGGAGAGAACCGAGUUGUCAAAGAUAGGGAUUCCCACCUACAAUGAGCUUGAAAAGUGCAAGUCCAAAGUGCUACUCACCACCAGGAGAUUGAAUGUCUGUAAUGCCAUGAAGUGCCAUGAAAAGAUCAGCCUCAAAGUUCUCUCAGAACAAGAUUCUUGGACCUUGUUCGUGAGAAAUGCAGGAACAAUUUCUUUUGAGCCUACCUCAUUUGAGAAAGUGGCAAGGAGGGUAGCUUUAGAGUGUAAGGGUCUACCGAUUGCAUUGAUAGCUGUUGCAAGGGCACUCAGAGAUGAGGACCAGGAGGAAUGGGAGAAGGCAGCUGAACGACUAGAGCAGUCGCAAUAUGUCAAUCCCAACCAUGAGAAAGAUGAGGAUAAUGCUUUCAGAUGUAUACGAUUAAGCUAUGAUUACUUGAAAAAUGAAGACCACAAGUCAUGCUUCUUGCUCUGUUGCCUGUUCCCAGAAGACCAUAACAUCAAAAUAAAAGACUUGUUCCGGUACGCGAUCGGAAAAAGAUUGUUUCGAGAUGCCCAAACAAUGGAAGUAGCCAGAGGAAAAUUAGUUACAGUGGUCAAGUACCUGAAAGGUUCUAGCUUGCUUUUGGAUAGUGAGGAAGAAGGAUGUGUAAAGAUGCAUGAUGUCAUCCGGGAUACAGCCAUUCAAAUUGCCGAAUCUGAAGAUUGCCAUUGGUUUUUUGUGAAAGCUGGCUGUGGUUUAAAGGGUUGGCCGCCACGCGGAUUACAUGAAGGCUGCACUGCUAUUUCACUAAUGAGGAACGAAAUUCGGAAGCUACCCGAAGAAGAGUUAGUAUGUCCAAAUCUCCUGAUUUUAUUACUAAACGGGAAUGCUGAACUAAGUGAGAUCCCCGAAAAGUUGAUCCAGAAUCUGAAAGAGUUAAGGGUCUUGGAUCUUAGCAACACUAGUAUUUCCGUAUUACCCCAAUCAUUUAGUCUUCUCACCAACCUCCAAGCUUUGUAUUUAGAUGAUUGCGGCGAAUUAAUUGACAUUUCCGUUGUGGGGAAACUUAACAAGCUUGAAAUUCUUAGUAUGAGACCCAUCUGGAAGUAUGAUGUGUUUUUGAGUUUCAGGGGUACUGACACUCGCAAAGGGAUUGCAAACGACAUCUGCAAUCGACUUAGUAGAAGUGGCAUUAAAACGUUCAUGGAUGAGCAAGGACUUCAAGUAGGGGAUGUUAUUUCUCCCACUCUCAUAUGGGCAAUUAAAAAGGCAAGGUUUGCAAUCGUAAUUUUCUCACAAAAUUACGCUUCUUCUGCUUGGUGUUUGGAUGAACUUCGAGAGAUUUGUCUAUCCAUAGAAGACGGCAAAAUUUUGCCACUUUUUUUAUCAAGUUAAUCCUAGUGAUGUUCAAUAUCACGGGAACAAUUUCAAAGAAGCUUUCUCUAAGCAUGAAACCUCUGGCCGACAUGAAUCAGACAAGUUGAAUCAAUGGAGGGCUGCCUUAUGCAAAGUGACCAAUAUCUCUGGGUGGAAUACAAAUGAUUUCAAGUAAGCAUUGUGCCUUCAAUUUCAAUUCUAUAUAUAUAUUUUACCUAACACAUCAUUUUUUUAAUCCUUACAACUCUUUAAUUCUUCCUUGUAGUACUCACAGUGAACUUGUUGACAAGAUUGUGGAAUCUCUCCGCAGUAAAGUACCACAUGAUCCAAUUGAAUCCACAGUAGAUUUCCAAGCAUAUGAAGCAACAAAAGAAGCCAUGCGCAAGGUUAUGGAGGCGCUAACAGAUGACAAGAUUACUGCCGUUGGUGUCCACGGCACAGGCAGCGUUGGGAAGACAAGCAUGUUGAGACAUGUAGCUACACAAGCAUGCAGAAAUGGUAAUUUUAACAAUUGGAUUAUGGUUGUCGUAUCCCAAGACCUUGACUUGAAAAAAAUUGAAGGUACAUUUUCAAAUAAGUUGCUCUUCAAAUUUGCGAAGAAGACAGAAGAUGUAAGAGCUGAUAGGUUACAUGAGGAGAUAAUGAGAACAGAAAAGCUCCUUAUAAUCUUGGACGAUGUAUGGGAUAAAAUACAGUUGUCAAAGAUAGGGAUCCCUAACUACGAAGAGCUUCAAAAAUGCAAUUCCAAAGUCCUACUCACCACAAGGAGAUUGAGUGUCUGUAAUGCUAUGGAGUGCCAUGAAAAAAUCGCCCUCAACAUUCUAUCAAAAGAAGAUUCUUGGGCCUUGUUUGUGAGAAAUAUAGGAACAAUUUCUUUUGAGUCCACCUUGUUUAAGGAAGUGGCAUGGAGGGUAGCUGGAGAGUGGAAGGGUCUACCGAUUGCAUUGUAAGAGUCUUAAGAUUUUGACCAUUUACCAUUGCGAGCUGCUGCAAAGUCUGUUCGCAUCUAAUGUAGCCCAAUGUCUUGUUCAAUUGGAAGACCUUCUUGUAGAGAGGUGUCCUUUGUUGGAAAGAGUAAUGGAAGCAGUGAAGAAGGAGAAGACGGUUCUACAAAAACUGAAGAACUUGGUUUUGAAGGAUCUCCCUAUGUUGUAUGGUACAAUUGCUGCCAUUGAUAUUGAGUGUCCUUCAUUGGAACACUUGAUGGUGGUGGAUUGCCCCAAGCUUUUAUUUUCAACCUCUUCCGAUCUCUUCGAAGCCUUCAAAAGCAGGAACCAAUUUUCAUUUUCAGCCUCCACUUCUGACCCAGUCCAACUCUAUGAUCCACAACAACACCGAACUCUACGUGACAGGUAUUGACGUAUUUACUUAGUUUGUUCUUUUCUUCUGUAAUUUGUAGGGCAGCAAUUGGGCAAAAAAUUAUUUGAACAAUUAAUAUCUGUGAUUCAAUUUUUAUUCUUCCCACUCUUUUAAAACAAUUGAGCUAACAAUUGAGCUCCCACGACAGGACAGAACACGAAGCACAAUUAAAAUAGCAUUUUUAUUUUCAUUCUUAUUUUUCUUUGUUAUCAGUCAUAAUGUGAACAACAACAACAAAAGUCAAAAUUAUGCAGAAUACUUAAAGUUGAUGAUUGUUUCCUUUUCUUUACUCUAGUAAUGCAAGUUACAAACAACAUUAUGGAUACUCCUAUAAUGUUACUUUUCUUUUUAAAUCUAUAAUUUUAAUAGUAAUUCUUUUUUCUUUUUCUUUUUUCCUAUUUUGAUGCAACAGAUCAACAUCUGGCUUCUGACUUCCAUUGCAGGAAGUAACCAAGUUCAACUCUAUUUCUUUGUCCAGGUAGCUGUGUGAUCAACUGAAUUAUUUUCUUUUCAUUGAAUGGUAGAUUUCUUGUGAUGCCAUAGAAACUAAAAAUGUUACAUUUUCUAAGAUAAUGGAGUUCUCAUAAUUCAUUUGCUUUCCCAAUCUUCUGUGUAUUAGUGAUUCAGUGCAACAAGCAAAUUUUAACUUCAAUUUUCCUUUUCGCUCCUAUAUUCUUAUUUUUCUUGUUAUAAUUCGUCGUUAUCAAUCAUUUCUUUUUCUAAUUUUGAUAAUUAAUUGAUGAAAGAUAUUAAAUUUGUGAAAGAAAAACAAUGUCACACUGAAAACUUUGUACCAAUGAGGAUUGUUUUGUUUUCACUACUUGCUAAUACUAAUUACUGAUUUACUGGUAUAAGAAAAUGUCUGGUUUGAAACAAAUUUCAAUCAAGAUGAUUGCAUACAUCAUGUUAUAGUCAAUUCAUUCAGUCCUCAUAUAUGUAACAAAUAAUGACUUAUUUGACUUGAAGGUUGUAAGUGGACAAGUAUACUCUGCCUAUGAAGCAGAAAUUCGUGACUUAUGAAUGGGUACACUAUUUAACACAGUAGUACACACACAAACGUAAUAUAAAAUAUAUAAUCUCUGUACAAAUUAGUCUUUGUGUGGCAAGUGUUAGUCAUCAAUGUUAUUGCAGCUAGCCAUUGGAUGAAGAGAAAUUGUGUUAGCAUUUUGAAAUUAGUCCUUUGAGUGAUGAUUCUGUAGUCAUUGAUAUAUGUGUUUACAGCUAGCAUGGGGAUGAUUGAAGAGUCUCAGAAUUUUGAAUUAAAUUCUUAACACCUUCUGUCAUCCGCAUCAAGAACUCAUCCAAAGUUUGGAGUCAUACUACCACAAUGCAUAAGCACUAAUUGAGUCCCAUCCUAAAACCAAAUUAAGCUCUUUUUUGUUAUAUUAAUUAUGUGGGAAUGUGAGGUGGGGUACAGAUUGAUAAACUUACAGGGAAAAUUUUCAGUUAAUAUACUAGAAGAGUUGGUUGAUUUGCACUUAAAAACAGCGUAUACCAAGAUUUUUUGUAGUCAUUAACUCAUUCGAGAGAAGCAUCAAUCGACAUUUAGGAUAAUCAAUUCAUAUGAUAAUUGUAACUGCAAUAAGUAGUGUUUUGCUAGCUACUUAGAAGAAAGAAUUUUCUCAAAGUAGUUCACUCUUUCACUGGUUUUUCAUUGUGUUCAGGGUUGGUCAACUAGGUGAGGCUGCGAAUCCAAUUGAGAAGCUUUGCUGGAUUGUGACUACCAAAACAGCCAAAGAGAUUGUAACAGUCAUUCUUGGAACCUUGGAGAGUGUAGAGAUCAGUUGAUAUGCUCGACCAUGCUGUAAUUUAAUUCUUGCCACUAGUAUUUGUAAAAAAAAAAAAAUAAUUAAAAGUUUAAAAAAAAAUUUAAACUAAAGAAAUAAGUACCGGUACUGAUAAACUCUAUGUAUUACCUUACAUGGUUUGGUUCUUGUGCUUCCUUAUUAAUACACAUGCAUUAUUCAUAUAAGUUUUGUUCAAAAUAUGUUGUUUGACUGUUUUAUAUUGUGACAUGCGGUUCUCCAAAAUACUUGAUAAAAUGUGAUUAUGUUCAUCGAUCAAGAACUUCCUCAUAGCCUGUACCCAUAGCUUAUGAUUGGGUUUUUGUUCCUUAUUGACAGCCUUAAUCUAUUUUAUCUUUUUGCUUUGAUGCUGAGAAAGUUGAGGACAAUGAUACAUGUAUUCUGUACAGGAAACUGUUGGUGUUGCAUGUGUUUGUGUACUAGCUGAAAGGUUCGUGUUAGAUUUGCCAAAUAGUCUUUUCGCUUAUUGAUUGUGGGAGAGUUGAAAUCCUUAGUGUACGGAUUUGUAGGAUUUGGUUUGAUGAUUAGUGGUUUGAUUUAAAUCAAUGUGUUGAUUUGGGCUACUAAACUUAAUAUCAGUUGGUUGAUGGGUGAGGACUGAGGAGUGUUCAUACUUUUUCCAUUACAAAUUCUGUUCUGGGUGGUUUUCUGUUAGGCAGCUAUUCUGGUUAGGGGAAUUGAUUGAUAGUAUAUAGUUGGGUAUAUAACAUUAAACUACCAUUUAAAGGUACAAAUGAUAAAAUAGUUUUCAAAUGUUUCACUUGAUAAAAAAGUCACCAUUAAAACAUGUUACAUGAUAAAAUGGUCACCUCAUAACAUCUUAAAUGAUAAAAAUGUCUAUUUUCACACUUUUUACAUGACCAUUAUACCUUUCUCUCUCCCUCAACCAAAUUUCCUUACCAGACUUCCUCGACCUCAACCUUAUCUCCGCCGAAGAAAGUAGGCGGUGGCCACCGUGGCCAGGUGAGCUAUUCCCGGCACUCUUUCCCACCCACCCACCCUUUCAGUAACCCAAGGCAAAAAUCCAUGAACCCAAUCUUUCCCACCACCAUCUCUGAAAACUCCCAUUCACCUAGAUCUAGCUAUACCCCUCUUUUCGUUUACCCAGAACCCUCCUCUCUAUCCUCUCAGAGGCUAAGCCUUAGGUCCCAGAGGAUUUCCACCUUUGCAUGUCCGAUUGGAACAGUUAUGGCGAGACUUGGUGUUAUCGGCGAGAUCUGAGUCUCUUGGUUUUUGAAUAAAAGUGUUUUUUCUCUAAAUCAGACUUUUCUGAUUAUCCAGGUAUGUAAAUCUCUUCCGAUUCCCACCUACUUUAGGUCUUAAAAGAGAACGAGGGCUUUACAAGAUGAUACUCUCAUGUAUGAAUCUGCAGAGAAUGAUGGCAAUGCUUUUCUGCUAAGCUUGGUGAUGAUUAUAACCUUGUCUAUUGAAUUUGCUGAGAAGGAAGGCAGUGCGUCAACAGGUAAGAUAGCUAAAACCCAUUUAUAUAUUUCCUGUUUUGCAGUUGAUGUCUUAUGUAUCCUAGAUACUAGGUCAUCUUCAUCUAUCUUAAAGAGGACCAGCCAUUUACCUUUUGAUGAAUCUCAUGUGGUGCCUGCAAUUGGACAAUCUGGUGGUAUUAAUCUUUUGUGGAAUUCCAAGUCUGUUAAUUUGCAAGUUAUUUCUUCACAUGAUAGAUUUGUUCAUUGCAGUCUUACUGAUAUCAAAAUGAAUAAGUCUUGUAUGUUCACUUUUGUCUAUGCCUAUCCCAAAAAGAACAAACAAAUGGCUCUGUGGAAUGAACUAGCAAUGCUUAGCUCAGCCAGUAAUCUUUGUUGGGUGCUAAUGGGGGAUUUUAAUAUUAUUGUUAGCCCCGAGGAAAAAGUGGGGGGCAAUGGUGGUGUUACAAAUUAUAUGAUCAACUUCUGCAAUUUUUUGAAUAACAAUGGCUUGGUUUCUCUUGUUGCUACAGGCUUGCCAUUCACUUGGACAAACAAGCAUACAGAUCACUGAUUUUUGAACGUUUAGAUAGAGCAGUAGUAAAUUCAAAUUUCCUUAACUUCUUUCCAGAUGCUAAAUUGGAAAACCUCCCAAUUAUUACUUCUGAUCAUGGCCCUAUUUGUCUUGCCCUGGACUCUUCUAGAAGAAAUGUCCCCAAACAAUUUAAGUUUGAGGCGAUUUGGUUGUCUCAUCCUAACUUUAUCCCUCUUGUUGAGAGCAUUUGGAACUAGAGAUUGGAAGCUAACCCUAUGCAUAAUUUCUUUGCUAUUGCAGGACAGUUUUCCAACCGUGCUAGAGCCUGGAACAAAGCUGAUUUUGGCAAUAUGUUCAAAAGAAUGGAGGACCUGAAUAAAGAGAGUGAAGAAAUCCAAUAACUGAUGAAUUUCCCGAACUCUAUUUAUUUGAAACAGAAAGACUCGCACAUAAGGGCUAACUUAUUAGACUUGUGGAAGCAGGAAGAAAUUGUUUGGGCACAAAAAGCUAAGGCUAAUUGACUCAAGCUUGGAGACAGGAACACAGAGUUUUUUCAGGCUCAAGCAAAUAUCCGGAAAAAAGUUGAUUGCAUAUCAAAGCUACAGGAUAGCAGUGGCAAUUGGACAAAUGAUGAGGAAUCUAUUGCCACCAUCCUAAUACAGGAUUUCAAGAAAAGGUUCUGCCAAGACACAACCUUAAACACAGAUAACAUAAUGAAUUUUAUUUCAGUUAUUGAACCUGUUAUUAAUGCUAACGAUAACUUCUUGCUUAUGCAGCAAGUUACGGAUGAUGAAAUUUUUUGAUGCUAUCAACUUGUUUUUUUUCUUUGCCUCUUCAUCAAUUGCCUUCUUUUUUUCUUUUCUUCUUAUAUGUCAGCAUCUCUGUCCUCUGUAUCCUUUUCUCUGUUAUUCUUUCCAUCAUCUUCUUCUGCACAAAAUUGUAUGAUAUGUUAGCUUAUCACACCUCAAAACACUUAUUGUAACUACAUAUGUAUCUACCAAUGUAACUAUUCAUGUAACUAUCCAUCUAUGUAACUAUCCAUGUAACUAUGCAUGUAACUAUCUAUGUACCUAUCCAUGUAACUAACCAUCUAUUAACUAUGCAUGUAACUAUCUAUGUAACUAUCCACAAAACUAUACAUGUUACAUGCAUAUAACUAUCCACGUAACUAUCCAUGUAACUAUCUAUCUAUGUAACUAUGCAUGUAACUAUACAUGUAACCAUCUAUGUAACUAUCCAUCUAUGCAACUAUGCAUGUAACUAUCUAUGUAACUAUGCAUGUAACUAUUUAUAUAACUAUCCACGUAAAUAUGCAUGUAACUAUCUACGUAACUAUCCAUGUAACUAUCCACGUAACUAUCCAUCUAUGUAACUAUGCAUGUAACUAUCCAUCUAUGUAACUAUCCAUGUAACUAUGCAUGUAACUAUCCACGUAACUAUCCAUGUAACUAUCCACGUAACUAUGCAUGUAACUAUCCAUCUAUGUAACUAUGCAUGUAACUAUCCAUCUAUGUAACUAUGCAUGUAACUAUCCAUCUAUGUAACUAUGCAUGUAACUAUCCAUCUAUGUAACUAUCCAUAUAACUACAGUUUGAUAGUUACAUGGGUAGUUACAUACAUACAUGCUACACUUGUGUAACGACAUUAACUUGUCUAUGUAACUAUGCAUGUAACUAUCUAUCUAUGUAACUAUGCAUGUAACUAUCUAUCUAUGUAACUAUGCAUGUAAUUAUGCAUCUAUGUAACUAUCCAUCUAUGUAACUAUCCAUGUAACUACAGUUUGAUAGUUACGUAGGUAGUUACAUACAUGUUACACUUGUGAACGACAUUAAUCUGCCUAUGUAAUUAUCAAUAUAAUUAUCCAUCUAUGUAACUAUGCAUGUAACUAUCCAUCUAUGAAACUAUGCAUGUAAUUAUGCAUCUAUGUAACUAUCCAUGUAACUAUGCAUCUCUGUAACUAUCCAUGUAAUAAAUUCCGGUUAACAGUAUCCGACGUUGAAGUCCUUCGAUACAUACGUCAAAUCGAAAAUGAAAUAUCCUCUAAUCUUUGCGCUUUUCCACGUCCAUUUGUGCACAUAAUAAAGUCUCGUAAAGAUCAAGGCAUUACUUUCACAAUAGAACACACUACAACCAACACGUGGAUGUGUAAGCAUCGAGGUUCAAAACUAAUGCUUUGUAGUCUGUAGCCACUUAUCAUCAGGGUCCAGAAGAAGAACAUCUAUUUUCUUUAUUAACUUUCUCAACCUUUUUGGGAUUGCAACAUCAUCCCCUACUUUGAGAGAUAUGCAUUUCUGAUUCGGGCAUAUGCAAACCAGAAACUUGAUCUAGUUCAUAGUGGUUACUCUAUUAUAUUGUUCAGUAACUUCAUGUCUACCAACUGGGUUUGGCUUAUAUGUUGCACUUUCCCACAUGAAAUAAGUUGUGCCUGAAAAAAUGGAGAACUGAAGCAUUGAAUCUUUAUGUUUGAAGAAAAGGGAAAACAGACGUCAGUGUGUUUAGCUAUUAAAAUGACUGUUUGGGUAGUGCUAUGCUUCUGUGACUAAGAAACUAAGCAGAAAGACAAAAGUAGACAGAAGAGCAAAUGGAAUUUGGGAAAAUUAUGUACUUAGCUGCUGCUGCUCUCUUGUAAUGUGUACAAAGUGUCUCAAAUCUCUCUAAUCAUCUCUCCUCUUCUCUCACUACUCUCUCUGCUUUCCAUUGCACUGUUUCACUACAUUUUACCCCUACAAACCUACAACUAAUUUUUUUUUUUUUUUUGUUUCAUUUCAUAGUCCUUUACACCUCCAAGCAAAACAACCNNNNNNNNNNNNNNNNNNNNNNNNNNNNNNNNNNNNNNNNNNNNNNNNNNNNNNNNNNNNNNNNNNNNNNNNNNNNNNNNNNNNNNNNNNNNNNNNNNNNNNNNNNNNNNNNNNNNNNNNNNNNNNNNNNNNNNNNNNNNNNNNNNNNNNNNNNNNNNNNNNNNNNNNNNNNNNNNNNNNNNNNNNNNNNNNNNNNNNNNNNNNNNNNNNNNNNNNNNNNNNNNNNNNNNNNNNNNNNNNNNNNNNNNNNNNNNNNNNNNNNNNNNNNNNNNNNNNNNNNNNNNNNNNNNNNNNNNNNNNNNNNNNNNNNNNNNNNNNNNNNNNNNNNNNNNNNNNNNNNNNNNNNNNNNNNNNNNNNNNNNNNNNNNNNNNNNNNNNNNNNNNNNNNNNNNNNNNNNNNNNNNNNNNNNNNNNNNNNNNNNNNNNNNNNNNNNNNNNNNNNNNNNNNNNNNNNNNNNNNNNNNNNNNNNNNNNNNNNNNNNNNNNNNNNNNNNNNNNNNNNNNNNNNNNNNNNNNNNNNNNNNNNNNNNNNNNNNNNNNNNNNNNNNNNNNNNNNNNNNNNNNNNNNNNNNNNNNNNNNNNNNNNNNNNNNNNNNNNNNNNNNNNNNNNNNNNNNNNNNNNNNNNNNNNNNNNNNNNNNNNNNNNNNNNNNNNNNNNNNNNNNNNNNNNNNNNNNNNNNNNNNNNNNNNNNNNNNNNNNNNNNNNNNNNNNNNNNNNNNNNNNNNNNNNNNNNNNNNNNNNNNNNNNNNNNNNNNNNNNNNNNNNNNNNNNNNNNNNNNNNNNNNNNNNNNNNNNNNNNNNNNNNNNNNNNNNNNNNNNNNNNNNNNNNNNNNNNNNNNNNNNNNNNNNNNNNNNNNNNNNNNNNNNNNNNNNNNNNNNNNNNNNNNNNNNNNNNNNNNNNNNNNNNNNNNNNNNNNNNNNNNNNNNNNNNNNNNNNNNNNNNNNNNNNNNNNNNNNNNNNNNNNNNNNNNNNNNNNNNNNNNNNNNNNNNNNNNNNNNNNNNNNNNNNNNNNNNNNNNNNNNNNNNNNNNNNNNNNNNNNNNNNNNNNNNNNNNNNNNNNNNNNNNNNNNNNNNNNNNNNNNNNNNNNNNNNNNNNNNNNNNNNNNNNNNNNNNNNNNNNNNNNNNNNNNNNNNNNNNNNNNNNNNNNNNNNNNNNNNNNNNNNNNNNNNNNNNNNNNNNNNNNNNNNNNNNNNNNNNNNNNNNNNNNNNNNNNNNNNNNNNNNNNNNNNNNNNNNNNNNNNNNNNNNNNNNNNNNNNNNNNNNNNNNNNNNNNNNNNNNNNNNNNNNNNNNNNNNNNNNNNNNNNNNNNNNNNNNNNNNNNNNNNNNNNNNNNNNNNNNNNNNNNNNNNNNNNNNNNNNNNNNNNNNNNNNNNNNNNNNNNNNNNNNNNNNNNNNNNNNNNNNNNNNNNNNNNNNNNNNNNNNNNNNNNNNNNNNNNNNNNNNNNNNNNNNNNNNNNNNNNNNNNNNNNNNNNNNNNNNNNNNNNNNNNNNNNNNNNNNNNNNNNNNNNNNNNNNNNNNNNNNNNNNNNNNNNNNNNNNNNNNNNNNNNNNNNNNNNNNNNNNNNNNNNNNNNNNNNNNNNNNNNNNNNNNNNNNNNNNNNNNNNNNNNNNNNNNNNNNNNNNNNNNNNNNNNNNNNNNNNNNNNNNNNCCAAACUGAUUAUUGACCUAAAAUACGAUGGGGCAAACUGAAUUUAAUCCUUUAUUUCACUUUUAUAAUUAGCCAAAAAUAUGCUUUGCCUGUAACUCCUCUCAGUAUUUGCCUUCUGAUGUUUGAUGGUUCUUAAGUUAACUUGUUUUUGUUGUAGGAAAUUCAAAGUGUACACAAGCAAGAGCAAGAGUGAGGACCAGAUGAAGUCGAACUAGUUCUGGGGAUCCCAGACGUCCGUGCUACAAGUCACCAUUCCCCAAGCUAUUGUUUAUCAGAGGCUAUGUCGUAUAUAUGCAUCUUUAUUGGUAUUUUUUUGUUAAUGUAUGACAAUGAUAUGCUAAGAUAAUCUUGAGCAUUCUGUAAUUAACACAUACAAAUCUUUAGCUCGUUUUCUGUUGAGCAUGGAGCUUUGCUUUUUGCACGUUCUCAGUAGGAUUGACUGUAUGGUGUGAUUGUUGAUCAUGUUUGGUUAGCUAGUUACUACUCUGGAUUGUUUAUUUAUUUGCUAACGAGAAGUUCUUACUUUGUUUUGUACUUUGUAAUGUUUCUCUUGCUUGUCACAAUGAAAGUCGGUCGUAUGAUUUUUGGUUGCAGUUCUAGUUCUGUUUCUGUUGCAGUUGUUACCCAAAACCUGAAAACCCGAAACCCAUCUUAAUUGCAGCAAGCGAAAUAAUCAAUUACAGAAACCCAGAGUGAUGCAGCAGCAGCGGCAACAUGAUAGUUGCUGCUUACAACAGCAACCUGAUGGUUGCUGGUUAGAUGAUAUAUUUUAUUAUUUUUUUAGUAUUUAUUCUUCUUUUCCUAGUCUUUUUUGGGUUUUUAUCAAUUACUAGUUGGUUUGGAUUUACUAGUUUGUUUAGGGUUUGUUAAACUAUUUAAACCCUCUUUUGUGGUUGUAGUCGUCAGUUUUUUCAAAAUAUCAAUAAAAUUGAGAAUUUUCUCUCAAACCUGCUAUAUCAACUCGGUCAUUCCCUUGGAAUCAACGAGGCAUAGACGUCCUAAAUCCUUGGCUAUUCUCACCUUGAGAAUCAACGAGGUUUUAGAUUCUAUCUUGUUUUGUUAUUGUUCGUAUUGAUUGUGUUUCGGAGACAUACUAGAAGUUGGGUUUAAGGCUGUGAACGAAUUCCUAUCAAGGGCUGCAUUAGCUGGUACCAGAGCCUGAGUCGAUCCAUUCCAACAAUCAUGCCUGCUAGGAGAGGUGCUAAGGUUGGUGGAAGGGGCAGAGGAAACAAGUCGGAUGAUCUUGCAAAUAUUUACAGUACUAGAGAAGACAUGGCAACGUGGCAGCGUCAAUUUGAGCAACAGGCCAAACAUCAGAUUGAUCAGUUAUCCAAACAAAUUGCUGCUCUUUCAAUGUCAAAAAGAAAGAAAAAGGCAAAGAUAUAUGAGGAUGAGGAAGAAGAAGAUGAGGAGAUCAGCAUGGGUGAUGACUCAUCUGGCUCUUCUAGUGAUGGUGCGAAGGAAGAGAAGCAUGAUUCUGGACGUUGGGAAGCCGGAAUGAGGACUGAAAUUCCUGAGUUCUAUGGAGGUAUUUAGCCAGAAGAGUUCUUAGAUUGGCUAGGUGUUGUAGAGGAAAUUUUUGAACUCAAGGAAGUGCCUACGAGGAAGAUAGUUUACUUGAUCACUACAAGGCUUAGAGGACAUGCAUCUGCAUGGUGGCGACAGUUGAAGAAGCAACGAGAGCGACAGGGAAAGAAGAAGAUUACUUCUUGGGACAAGAUGAAGAAGCACAUGCGGGCUGUUUUCCUACCUCCCAAUCAUACCCGACUAAUUUAUCAACAACUUCAAAAUAUUCGGCAGGGGUUACGCAAUGUAAAUGAUUUCACAACUGAUUUUUAUCAAUUGGUGGCUCGUAACGACUUGUCUAAGACUGAUGAGCAGUUGGUUGCUAGAUAUAUUGGGGGUUUGAGGCCUCAAUUUCAAGAUGUCCUCAACAUGUUUUAUCUUUGUACUGUCGCAAAGGCUCAUGCUAGGGCCAUUUAGCUAGAGAAGCAGAUGGGUAGGAGGACAACUACAGGCAAUAUGGGGUUUGCAAAUGGAACUACUGUGCGAAAUGGGGCAAGCUCAAGUGCUCUACCAAAAGUGGUAGCGUCUCAUGUCCCACCUAGACCCGACAAUAGUGGACAACCUGUUAAGACCAUGUCUUCAGAAGGAGGAAGACCGGGGGUGAAGUGUUUUAAUUGCGGGGAGGCAGGGCAUAGGACAAGUAAUUGCAAGAAAGAUGGUAGAGUGAACAAAGGAUUGUUAAUAGAGAAUGAUAGUUCUCUGUUUGAGUUCACUCCAGUUGAAGGAGAUGAGGGUUUUGAUGAAUCAUAUGAAGAUCUUGUGGGUGAAGAAGUUGUCUAUGGGGAUGAUGGUCCAUUGUUAGUUGUGCGUAGAGCUUGCCUAACACCUCACGGGGUGGAAGGAGAUGGGUGGCUUUGUACUAAUAUUUUUCAGUCUACAUGUACUAUUGGGGGAAAGGUUUGCAAGCUGAUUAUUGACUCUGGCAGUUGUGAGAAUGUGAUAUCAGAAGAUGCUGCGGCUAAAUUGGGUUUGGAGAUUCAAACUCACCCUCAACCAUACAAGCUGUCCUGGCUUCAAAAAGGCAGUGAGGUAACAGUUUCUAAGCGUGCUUAUGUUUCUUUCUCUAUUGGCGCUAACUACAAGGAUAAAGUGUGGUGCAAUGUUGUGCCUAUGGAUGCUUGCCACAUGUUGUUAGGGAGACUUUGGCAGUUUGAUAGGAGUGUCUUGCAUGAUGGUCAGAAGAAUACUUAUAGCUUCAUGUUCAACAACAUUAAGAUCACAUUAGUGCCCGCUAGAGAACAAGGUCCUAAACCCCAAGGCAAAAAUGUGACGAAUUUGUUGUCCAUGAGUAAAUUUGUGGAGGAGAUAAAAGAAACAGGAAUGAUGUACUUGUUGCUGGGAAGAGAAUCUAAAGAAGAAGAAGCUCAUGUACCUGAGCUGGUUCAAGAGGUACUUAAAGAGUAUGAAGAUGUCUUUCCUGAAGAGAUACCUACAGGGUUGCCCCCUGUUCGAGAUAUACAACAUCAAAUAGACUUGAUACCGGGUGCCUCCUUACCUAACAGGCCUCAUUAUAGGAUGAGUCCUAUGGAGCAUGAGGAGUUGAGAAGACAGGUAGAGGAGCUAUUGGAGAAGGGGCAUAUUCGAGAGAGCUUGAGUCCUUGUGCAAUGCCUGCUUUGCUCACUCCAAAGAAGGAUGGUUCAUGGCGUUUGUGCGUCGAUAGUAGAGCCAUCAACAAGAUUACGGUACGCUAUCGGUUUCCUAUUCCUCGUUUGGAUGAUUUGCUUGAUCAGUUGAGUGGGGCUAAAGUUUUCAGUAAACUUGAUCUUAAGAGUGGGUAUCAUCAAAUUAAGAUCAAAGAGGGUGAUGAGUGGAAGACGGCCUUUAAAACCCGUGAAGGAUUGUAUGAGUGGUUGGUGAUGCCUUUUGGGCUUUCUAAUGCCCCAAGUACUUUCAUGAGGGCUAUGAAUCAGAUGUUGCGACCCUUUAUUGGUAAGUUCCUUGUGGUGUACUUUGAUGACAUACUCAUCUAUAGUGCUACACCAGAAUUGCAUAUGGAACAUUUAAGGGCGGUAUUGGAAGUUUUGAGGAGGGAGAAGUUCUAUGCCGGCCUAAAGAAGUGUUCGUUCAUGACUGACAGCGUUUUAUUCUUGGGAUUUGUUGUGUCAAAAGAAGGAAUUAGUGUUGAUCAAUCAAAGGUACAAGCCAUCAAAAACUGGCCUAUACCUGCAAAUCUGCACGAGGUUCGGAGCUUUCAUGGGUUGGUAUCUUUUUAUCAGAGAUUCAUUCCGAGCUUUAGCACAAUCAUGGCUCCUAUUACAGAUUGUAUGAGGGCAGGGAAAUUUAGUUGGAGCAAUGAAGCAACUUCAGCAUUUGAGGUGAUUAAGCAGAAAUUGACUACAGAUCCAGUUCUUAUACUUCCAGAUUUUAACAAACCAUUUGAACUCCAUUGUGAUGCUUCUAAGGUGGGUAUUGGUGCUGUGUUGAGUCAGGAAGGAAGACCUGUGGCUUUUUAUAGUGAGAAGCUUGGGGGAGCUAAACUGAACUAUAGCACAUAUGACAUGAAGUUUUAUGCAGUUGUGCAAGCUUUGAAGCAUUGGAGUUCUUAUUUGGCUUAUCAUGAAUUUGUGUUAUUUUCUGAUCAUGAUGUUCUCAAGCAUAUCAAUGCUCAAGAUAAGCUUUCUUCUAGGCAUGCUAAAUGGGCAUCCUAUCUUCAACAGUUCACCUUCUCACUGAAGCACAAAUCAGGAACUUACCGUGGUGAGAACUCAAGUGUUGGGUUUUGACUCUGCAAAGGAUCUUUUGGCAACUGAUCCUUAUUUCUCUACCAUUGUUAAAGAGGUGGAAGUAGGUGAUAAAGGUGACUACUCUUUACAUGACGGGUUUCUGUUUAAGGGUAACCAAUUGUGUAUCCCGGAUUGUAGCCUACGUCUUAAGAUCAUAAUGGAGUUGCAUAAUGAAGGGCAUGUGGGGCGCGACAAGACUAUACAAUUAGUCUUAGGUUCAUAUUAUUGGCCUACAAUUCAUAAGGAGGUUGCUAAGUAUGUGAGAGGGUGUCACAUCUGCCAGAUUUCUAAGGGUCAAGCUACUAAUGCUGGUUUGUAUAUGCCAUUGCCUAUCCUUGAACAACCUUGGGUUGAUCUUAGCAUAGACUUUGUGCUAGGCCUUCCCCGAACGCAGCGAGGCUCAUAUUCUAUUUUUGUGGUGGUUGAUAGGUUCUCUAAAAUGGCUCACUUUAUCCCUUGUAAGAAGACUACUGAUGCUGUGAGUGUGGCUCAACUAUUCUUCAAAGAGGUGUAUAGAUUGCAUGGAUUUCCUUCUUCUAUUGUGUCUGACAGAGACACCAGGUUUCUUAGCCAUUUUUGGAGGUGCUUAUGGAAGUUAGCUGGAACCAAAUUGAACUUUAGCAGUGCUUAUCAUCCUCAAACAGAUGGGCAGACUGAGGUUGUCAACCGUUCUUUGGGAAAUCUCCUAAGAAGUUUGGUGGGAAAGAACUUGAAGUCUUGGGACCAGAAAUUGUGUCAAGCAGAGUUUGCUUAUAACAGAUCAGUUAAUCGUAGUAUGGGACUUAGUCCAUUUUAUAUAAACUAUGGCUAUGAUCCUAGGUCCCCAGUUGAAUUAUUCCAGUACUUGAUUCUAAGAAGGUUCACACCAAGGCUGAAGACUUCAUGACACAAUUGAUGACCAUUCAUGAAUUGACAAGGAACAAUUUGCAGGAAUCCAAUGCUAAGUACAAGAGGGCUGCAGAUAGGAAAAGAAGGCACGUAGAGUUUGAUGUUGGUGAUUUCGUUUGGGCAAUCCUCACCAAAGAUCGAUUUUCUGUUGGUGAUUACAAUAAGUUGGCUGCAAGGAAGAUUGGUCAUGUGGAGAUUAUAGGGAAGAUUAAUUCUAAUGCCUAUAAGUUGAAGCUUCCAAGUCAUAUUCAUACAUCAGAUAAGUUUAACGUCAAACACCUCAUUCCAUAUCAUGAGGAUAGAUCAGCAGCUGAAGCAUUGAAUUCGAGGGCGAAUUCUUUCCAACCUGGAGAGGAUGAUGUAGCAGCGGCAACAUGAUAGUUACUGCUUACAACAGCAACCUGAUGGUUGCUGGUUAGAUGAUAUGUUUUAUUAUUUUUUUAGUAUUUAUUCUUCUUUUCCUAGUCUUUUUUGGGUUUUUAUCAAUUACUAGUUGGUUUGGAUUUACUAGUUGGUUUAGGGUUUGCUAAACUAUUUAAACCCUCUUUUGUGGUUGUAGUCGUCAGUUUUUUCAAAAUAUCAAUAAAAUUGAGAAUUUUCUCUCAAACCUGCUCUAUCAACUCGGUCAUUCCCUUGGAAUCAACGAGGCAUAGACGUCCUAAAUCCUUGGCUAUUCUCACCUUGAGAAUCAACGAGGUUUUAGAUUCUAUCUUGUUUUGUUAUUGUUCGUAUUGAUUGUGUUUCGGAGACAUACUAGAAGUUGGGUUUAAGGCUGUGAAUGAAUUCCUAUCAAGGGCUGCAUUACAGAGUAAGGGCCGGCUUGAACAAAGAGCUCCUCACAGCAGCAGAGAAAGAGGAAGAAGCCAAGAAGAUGAAGAAGAAAAAGAACCAUAAAAUAUAAGCGAAGUUUUCAAAAAAAAAAAGUCAAUUGGGCUUCUAACGGGCUAGGCGGAGAUGGUCCACGUUUAGGCGGUCUGGGCCGUGGUGGGAUACCCGGGCUGGUGGAUUCACCUAAUAAAUUUAAAGUUAUCGAAAAAAAAAGAAACUGACAUAAUUGUAUUGGGCUUUUAGCGAGCUUGACGGAGACGGUCCACGUCUAGGUGGUGUGCAUGGGUUGUGGUGGGCCUAGACAGGCUGGGUGGUGCACCAUUUAAAAUAAAAAAACGACACGUCGUCUCUCGUCAGUCUUCAACGUUCUAAGUCGGUGAGUCUUGAUCACAGCUGCCCAAACUCGACCGGACAACAGCUGCUAAAUCUCCUUAGGUGCUUGUAUCGAUUCUAUUCACUCCAACUCAUACUUCUGCUCAAUCAAGCUUUGUAUCGGUUCACUCCACUUCAUGCUUUUCUUUUCAAUUCUAGUAGUGAUCUAUUAGACAAAGGAAAAGAAAGACAAGUUCAACUCGGUUAUAUAUGGAAAAUUCUAAUAUACUAUAUGGUAUAGCAUGCCUCAUAAAAUAUGUUGUUAUCAUUGAUUGAAAAAGCAACUAAAUAAUCAAUAUAAUGAUCAUUUACUCCUUCAAAAACCCCCAUGUGCCACACAAUUAGACACAUUUGUAAUAUCUAUGUCAUAUCAUAUGAUAUGAGAGACAAACCCAGCUAUAUACGGUGUUUUAUCGUUGCUAUAUGUUUGUUGUGACUAUGUCAGAGGUGAAAGAUGAAAUUUUGGAGUACAAAUGUCAUAUCCAUCAUUCUGUAGGAAAAAGUGUUAUUAAAGUCAAGUUCCAAUUGAUGCAGCAUCCACAACAUUAGAUAACUCGUCUUCACAGGGUUCCGCUGAUAAGACCACAUAUUAAGCCUAGAAGAAUUCACCAUGCACAUCAUAGUACCAUUCUCCAGCUCCAAUAGAGAAACUUCAAGAAAGUAUUACCACUGAAACCAGCAGCAUAAGCUUACAGAGUUUGCAAGGGGGAGCCUUGCUGCUAUUACAAUACAAACAGUAGUGAAAAUUACAGCUAGCUAUACAUAUCUUUGCCUUCUUAACCAAUCUUUGCCUUGCACCAUAUUUUUUUCCUGAAUUUGGUGGAGAGGUGGAAUAUCAUGUGUGCUUUGUCUAAGAUUUAUUAUGCUGAUGCGGGUUGUAUGGAUGCUUUCUAUUGUUCUUUAUGUUGGAUUGUAAGUACCAUAGAUAAUUAUUGUAGUGACCAGUGGAGUUGAUGUCUUGCCACUUUUAAUGAUCAUAAAGAUGUGAACAUCAUCUGUCUGAUUUGAUAAACUGACUAUGCAGAUACAUGUAAGAAACAGCUAUGGUUAAUCCACCAAAAAAAUAGUUGUCCAUUUACAUACUCAGUCCUCACUGUAGAUAAUAUAUUAUUUUUUUGAGGGAAAAGGAGAAGUAUCCAUUGAUCAAAGAUCAUGACGACCAAAAGGUCAAGCAUGAGUGGUCCGAAGACCAUACAAAUGCAAAGCUAGAACUGACUCAAACCUACAUCUAAGAAUUGAAAUAACAACCUUAAAACUACAUCCAAAAAGACAGAUAUGAAACACUAGAAAGCAUAAUAACCUGCCAAACCCUACCAGCAAUACAACCUUCCCUGAAUAGAGGCCUAAGACCCAAUGGUGUACAUUUCAUCGUUAAAGAAAGGGUGCAUCACUGAUAAGAUAAAACAGGGAUCUUUUCCUAGUUAACCUAGGAGACUAUUCUUCAUCAGCCUCUGAUUUGAGGCCGUUGUCCACAGCAGUGAUCUCUCCCAUGUUGGGUUCCAUGGAGUCUGAACACUAUCCCACCUGCAAGUUCUUCUUAUUUCGGCUUCCCCUCGGCCUUCCUUUUUUCUUUGGAGAUUUGCAUGUCUUCUUAAGACCAAGGGCACCCCCAUCAGCAAUAGAGAACCCCAAUUCCUCCGGAUUCAAAGGCAAAGGAUCAAAGGUCAGCGCGUGUCGUGCACGUUUUCCAACAGGGGUCACCUCCUCCUCCUUGCUCCGCCGCACUCCGGCUACUUUGACUGGCGAAGGAAACGUCGGAACAUCACGAAUUUGCACAACCCUCUUCUCUUUCGGAAAGAGGGAAGCCAAGGUAGGUGAGUUGGGAACAAUUAGGUUUGGAGCCGAGUUACCCCUGAAAACCAUUGGUGGCAGCCCUGUUGCCCUAGACGGCGCCGAUGUCGGAGGAACCACUUCUUCAGAUUCUAGGGGACAAGUCUCCCCGCCGUGAUUCAACAUGGAACAUGUACGACAUCUUCCGAUCAGCCUUUCAUACUUGUAGGUCACUUGAAGAACAUCCAUCGGAGAAACCCUAAUCCGACGAUCUAAUCGUACUGGUUGGUUCAGAGGCAAGGUAACCCGGACUCGAGCAAGACCACGCUAGAAACCCCCGUGAUUCACCUGUAACACCACUCCAAUGGUCUCCGCCACCAACCUUGCCGUAGCAACUGUUGACAGCACCGCCGGUAAUCCUUGGAUCCCAACCCAGAUCCACACAGAGUCCAAAGGCACUGACCUGAUAUCUGAAAAGCCAUCAUAGUCGUUGAGAAUGAUCAUCGCUCUCUGGUACGCCCAAGGUCCACCUCGUUUCACUCUGUUCACGUCUCUCUCCGAAGUGAACGUAAACAAAAACCGAUCGUCUCGAGCCUGCACUUCCACCGGAGAUGGGAGCCUCCACAUGGAGCUAACAGCGCUCCUGAAUGCAUCGAAAACAAUAGUACGGGUUGUGUUCAAACGCCCGACGAGAUAGAAUCGUUGAGCAACGAAACCACUCUUGGGGCACCGGAGAUUACCCAAUUCCACCAGUUCUUCUUGGUUGCUCAGAGAGAGCUUUGAGAUGAGGCUUGCUGUUACCGACGCAGCGGAGACUGUCGCGGUCUUGGAGGCCAUGGAGAUCGAGGACGCUACCAUGGAUAUGAGCCGUGCCGCUCAGCCAAGGAAACCCUAACCCUAAGAGAGAGAGAGAGAGAGAGAGAGAGAGAGAGAGAGAGAGAGAGAGAGAAAACCCUAGCUGCGGUAUAUUUUUAGGAAAAUGCUCACUAGCCCUAAUUUUAGAGAUUUUUUUCCCAUCAACAAAAUAAGAUUUCAAUAUUCCCAUCAACCCUAUAGAGUCAUAGGAUAUAUUCCCACUAACAAAAUAUGGACCACUAUCACAUAAUUUGUAUGACAAUAAUACCCCUGCGAGAUCUGUUACGCCCCUCACUCUCUCAUAUUUGAAUUUCGAUGAGAGAGAAACUUCGGCUUGAGCUCGAAGCUCUGGUUCUAGUGCGAUAGGUGGACAAAGCGCUGGGCUUAAAGCUCUGAUUCUUGGCGAUAGGUGGACAAAGCUCUGGUUUUGGUUCGCUAGUCUCGAAGCUCUGAUUCUUAACGAUAAGUAGACGAAGCUCUUGUUUUGGUUCCGGUUAGAUUCCAAGCUCUAAUCUCAAUUUCUGUUGCGAUGGAUCUCGUAGUGAGCAAUAUGCCUCGGUUCGUUUCUGCAAUCUUCUUUAUUCCUUUUUGUUUUGAUUUGCAUUUGAAUUUGAUUUUGAUGUACUGUUGAUUUUUGCUGCUCUCGAUUUAUUUGUUAUUUGUGUUCUUAAUUUGUGCGAGUACAAAUGAAUUUUCGUUUUGUUUUGAAUUUGUUUGAGUUCUGUGUUGUGUGAAUUCAGUUCUGACCUUGCAUCGAAACUCCUUGUUGCUCAUGUGAUCUUCUGGGAAAAGAGAUUCUGCCGAUUUCUUCUCAUCAGACUUGAUGAGAAGGACCUCCUACUGGGGGCAGUAGGACCCCUAUUGGGGUCAGUAGGUGCCUACUGGGGUCAGUAUGAUCCCUGUUUGGUGCAGUAUGCGACUUAUUUGUAAUGUUAUUUUGUUUGUUUUUUUUACAGAAAUGUGGAUGGUUUUUUGGCUGUUAGGUGUCGUUAUUCUGGAAAAGGUUUCAUGUUCUCAAUUCAUCAACGAAUGAACUAUACUUACUUGUUCGAGUAUAUUUGUGAAAGAUUUCGGUUGUCUGCAACUGAUGUUAUUGAGCUUCACUAUUCACUUCCUGGUUGUCCUCUCUCUUUCUUGCAUAAUGACAAUGAUUUUCAAAUGUUGUUUAUUGGUGCUAAGAUAUACAAUUUGGAUUGUGUUGAAAUUAUUGUGGAGAAGAAUAGUGAACGUUGCCGCAAGAGAACUUCUGUUUCAUGUGAAGAUAGCUGCUCUGAAGUUUUGGAUGAAGAUGAUUAUUUGACUGAGGGAUAUAGGUCUGAGGUGUCGAAGCCUUACUUAUCAAGAGAGUGGGGUAGUUAUAUCCAAUGUGAAGGGUAGAAGUUUCGUGGUGGUGCCUCUGAAUUUCGAGAUAAGCUGCCCAAAUAUGCAAUUGAAGUUGGCUUCACCUUUGUGUACACCAGAAAUGAUUGGUAUAGAAUUCAUGCAGUAUGCAGCAACAUGGGAACCGAAAAUUGUGAAUGGCAUGUUGCUGGUUAUUCUGAAUCUUUAGAUGGAUGUUUUUAUAUUGAUUCUUUGAACAACGUACACACUUGCAAAGGCGUUCUUCGCCAGAAAAAGCAUGUUCGAUUGGGGUCUAAAGUUGUCAAGACUUGCAUUCAAGAGGAUAUUAGCUACAAUAUGUCAUUGAAGCCAAGGGAUAUCCAGAUAAAGAUGCAGUCUGCUUAUGGUUUUGAGAUAUCAUACAAGGUUGCUUGGAAAGCAAAGCAAAGUGCUAGGGAUAUGAUUUAUGGAUCUGAGGCUGAAUCUUUUAACAUGUUAUCUUGGUUUAGGGAAACUGUUUUAGCGAGUAACCAUGAUUCUGUUUUUUUCUUGGAAGUGCAUCCUAAUACCAACCAAUUCCAUAGGCUUUUUAUUGCCUACGCAUGUUGUAUUGAAGGUUUUAAGUUCUGUCUACCUGUAUUAUAUGUCGAUGGCACUUUUGGCAAGAGUCUUUACAAGGGGACCAUCCUCUGUGAAACUGGAAGGACUGGAAAUAAAGGUAAACUUUUAACUUUUAUCUUUUAUCUUUCUUUUUCUUGGUUAUGUGCUUUUUUUGUGUGUUUGUCUUGAAAGUGUGGAGCGGCACGCUGCAAUCACCUAUUACCCCCAGUAGACGUCCUACUACCUCCUAGUAUGCUGGCUUUUUCCUCUUUGUUUUUUGUUGUUUUUUUCCUCCCAGGUUGCUUUCCUUUGGCCAUGUGUGUAUGUGAUUCUGAGACUGAAGAUAAUUGGUGUUUUUUCUUCCGACACUUGAAGGAUUUGCUGGAAUCCCAAGGUAGAGUGGUUACAUUUAUGAGUGAUCGUGGUAAUGGAUUACUCGGUUCUUUCAGUAAGGUACUUCCUGGUCAUCCUCACUUGUUCUGUUACAUGCAUUUGUCAGCCAAUUUGAUGAAUAGAUAUGGUGGAGUGAGUGCUACUGUGAAAAAUUCUGUGAAGAAUAAGUUUUUUGAGUUAGCAUAUGCAUCUUCCCCCACCCAAUACCGUUUGCAUUUAAGAAAGCUUAGAGAAAUUGGUGAUGCAAAAAUUAUAGAUGAUUUUCUAAAGGAUAUGCCUCUUGAAAAUUGGUGCCGUGCAUUUUUCCCUGGAUCACGUUAUGGGAUUAUGACUAAUAGCAUGGCUGAAUCUUUUAAUGCCUGGUUUGCUGAAGAGCGUUAGAUGCCGGCAUAUGGUAUGCUUGAUCAGACUAGGAUAAAGUUGAUGAAUCAGAUGGGUGAGAGGAGGGAUGAAGCUUAACUCUGGACCACACCACUUACUCCUAAAAUGCAGGAUCGUUUGAAAGAACGUAUGGAUGCUGCUUCACAGUUUAAUGUGGUUUACUCGACCACAAAUAUCUAUGAAGUUCAAGGGAAGUAUUCUCAUGUUGUUGAUGACCUUGGUAUUUGUUCUUGCACGUGUAGAAAAUGGGAGAUUGAAUGUUUUCCUUGCUCUCAUGCUCUUGCUGUAAUUCAAGCUGCCUCAAAGGAUGUUUAUGCAUUUGUAGAUCUGCAUUACUUUGCUGACUACUGCAAGAAGUGCUAUGAUGUUCCACUUUUCCCUCUUUCUAAUGCUGAUAUGGCUUCUGCUGAAUCUGCUAAUGAUGAGUUUAUACAUCCUCCCCAUGUGAAGAGGCCCCCUGGAAGGCCGAAGAAAAAGAGGUUCAAGUCAAGUGGAGAGACUCAAAAGAAGCUCAUUCGUUGUGGCCGAUGUCAAAAAUUGGGCAAUCAUAACAAGGCGACCUGCACUGAACCUCUUUGAUUCUAUUAUGGAAUUAUAUAACUUUUAUUCUUUUUCUUGUUGGUAACAGACUAAAUAUGUUUUUCUUUGGGUGAUUCAUUGAUUUAUUGAAUCUGUAACAGAGUUUCUGUGUUGCUGGUUUGAAUAUAUGUCUAUUUUUCAUGUUUUCAUUGCUUGUGUAUGGCAUUUGUUAUUUUCAUUUCUUUUUGCAGUAGCUUGUUUAUCACUGAAUGAUUCAUAGGACCUCCUACUGACCCCAGUAGGACCACCUACUGGCCCCAGUAGGAACUCCUACUGAUCCUAGUAGGACCUCCUACUGACCCUAGUAGGCACCAGUUAUAGGACCUGUUAAGUGACUGAAGCACAAUAGGUUUAAUAGGAACUCUUACUGACCCUAGUAGGCACCAGUUAUAAGUGACAAUGGUCCUACUGACCCCAAUAGGGACCUGUUAAUGAAACAUGGGGACUUGUUUUCCACCUGUUUUUCAUGCUAAAUAACUGAAAAUGAAGAGAAAUGGGAAAAUACAUUUCACAUAUAUAAAAGGAAUCUCCUAAAGUCACAUUUCAUUUCAUUGUUCAUUACAUUUCAUUUUCUCUAACAUAUAUAUCAUAUUCCAUUUCUUGACAACAUUUGUAUUCUGGCAUUCAUUAGCUGCUCAAGAAUAACUUUCCUCAUUCCAUCAGCAUCGACUUUGUUUGGCUUUUCUCCCAAGGCUAACUUCUGCAUGAAAUGGAGCACAAAAGGCCCACAGUCCGCCCUGCAAAUCAUUCAUUUUAUGUUAGGGACACUGAAACGAAACCUACUGCCCCCUGCAAGUUUCUAAACAAUUUUUAGACUUUUUGAAUCAAUGACAAAGUUUUGAGAAUGGACUUACGAUAGUGACUUUUGUUGAGGACAGUCAAAGUUUUCCUCCAGCUUGUAUUCUUUAAUAGCUUCGAAGUUGUCAAGCACCCAUCUUCUUACCAUUUUCUCCCUGUCAUUCAUCGGAAGGAUUCUAUCAUCCAAAUCCCCUUGAUUUGUCUCGCCAACACUCUUAUAUCUAUAAUUCUCAAUAUCCGCUUCUUGGCUGUCGUCCGGAUAAUGUUUGUUUGACAAUUCUACUUCUUGGAGAAACUUCAUGAGAUGUUUCACUUGUUCAAUGCAGCAUACAAUUAUUCGUGUAUUCUUUUUCAAGAAAUUAUGAAAACUUAAAGGCACCCUAUAACUUUUCUGAUACGAUCACUUACCACAUAUUCAGCCUUCUUAUGAAAUUUUUCCUCCUCGUCCCUUUCAUUCUCUGGAGGUUGCAAAGAGUUCAUGUGCACAAUCCUCUUUUUCUCAUUAUCAACCACAAGCAGUGUGUAGUGGUGGUUUGUGCAAUGGUGGAUUGGGAUAAGAACCUUGUUGUAGUCAAAUACAUACCAUAAAGGUUCAAUUAAGCACAACUUUAUUUGGUUCUUGUAAUCCACGCUUCCUCUUUCCUCUUCAUGUUUAAUCGCAUAAAACUGUGCAUGAAAACGAUGUUAAAUCAGUAAACCCCCUAUACUGCCCCCAAUAUACUCAGUGCAUGUUAUAUUAAACCUAUAUUUAAAGUUACUGAUGCUUCAAUCUCCAGAAACGUUGCAAUAUGUAUGUUUGCAUUUUCAAGUUCCAUUUGCAAAAUCUCCGUGUACGCUUUGAUUACCUGCAAUUAUUCAAUUUGAUUUUCAGUUAAUCUUUCUUUCAUAUAAUUCUUAUAGUAGAAGGUCCUACUGGGGUCAGUAGGAUGUCCUACUGGGGUCAGUAUGAGGCCUACUGGGGUCAGUAGGUGAUCCUACUGGGGUCAGUAUGAGGUUGUCAAGCCCCCUACUAACCCCAAUAGACCCGCAAUUCUUUCAUAUAAUUCUUACAGAGUUAAUGUAAAAAGAAGCAAACUCACAGAAUCACUCAUGUAGUUUUCUUCCACAAGAUUAAUAAUGUCUGUUCCUUGUACCACUAUUGGCUUUGUUUGAGAAGCCCAGAAUGUGUCGCUGCAUGAACAGAAACAUUAGUUACUUAACUAUAACUACAAUGUCAUAUUUGUUACAUGAAAAUGCAAAUAUUCAAUUUGUUCACUUACCCAUCAUUAUCCCUUGCAUCAAGGAAAGACUUGUAAUAGUUUUGGACCUCCGUCUUCAGUGUGGUCCAAGUUUCCUUUUCAAAGUUCACUACUUUUUUUAUCACUUGUUUCUCCUUUUCCAGCUCUGUCUUGUUGUUUUUCUGAGGCAGAGGUUGUUUUGGAGCCUUUUUUCUUUUAUUGCGCAUCUCCAAGUCCUUCACUUCCUUUGGAGUGUUGUACUCAAAGUCGUCAUCCUUAGCUUUUUUUGUCCCUUUCUCUUGUACAACUUCACGUUCCUCUCGAUGGAAUGCAUUGGAACAGGCUUCUUCUAUUUUUUGUUACCGGCUUUAUUGGAGCACUAGUUUCAGCUAUUUUUCUGUAUCAUUUCCACAAGAUAAUCCAGCACUUCUCCUUCAUCNNNNNNNNNNNNNNNNNNNNUUCUCAGUGAAGUUUAGGCAGACAUCUUCUUUUUCUCCACAUUCAACUUCAUGUGCCUUGGCAAGCUGUAAAGUUAAAUCCUCUAUAUACUUCUUCUGCUUUUUGUUCUCAUCCUCCAACUUGCUUAUUUCCAACGUCUGCUGAAGUAUCUUUGCAUUUGCUUCUUCAAUUGCAAUCGAGGACAUCUUUGCAUUCUCCUGAAGCUUUCGAUUUUGGUUGUGGAGUUCAAUGAUUAGAACAAUGAGAUCCUUUUCAGCCACAUCUUCUGUCGCUAUAUCUUUUAGGAUAUAUGUUGUUGCUCUAGGAACUUUUUCCUGUGGUUUCUCCUGGCUUUUUUGGGGAACCUGCAUCCACAGCAAUUUAGUAACCAAAAGUAUAAAAUAAGCUAGGUACAAUAUAAACUACUGGGGUCAGUAUGAGGUCCUACUGGGGUCAGUAGGAGGUUGUCAAGCCCCCUACGGACCCCAAUAGACACAUUUAAAAAAGGAACUUACCCAAUCCCUGAAAGUGAGAGGUAGCGCGUCCUCGGAAUCCGAAAAGCCUCUGUGGUUUUCUUCAUUCCAUGGUCCAUUUGUUAUGAAUUCCUGUCACAUGUCCUCGGAAAAGUUAGAUAAGCAUACAGACGAUUAUUAACUUUUGGGAAAAUUCCCAUCAGCCCUAAUUCUGUGAAUUUUUUUCCCACUAACAAAAUCAAAUUUCAAAAUUCCCAUCAGCCUAUGCACUCUUAGGGUGUUAUUCCCACAAAUAAAAUUUUCAACAUUCUACCCAUUUUAGCUGACCAUAAUACCCUCUUUUGUCCCGAUCUCUCCUUUCUCUCCUCCUUCUCCGUCUUUCUACAUAUCUCUCUCUCUCUCUCUCUCUCUCUCUCUGAUCUAAUCUAAUCGCCUCUGUCAAAUCCCUCAUCUCCUCUCACUCCAUCCACAAAUCCCCAAACCCUAAUUUCCAAACCAGAUAUGGAUUUGCAAGGCUUAUCGGUCAUCUGCAACGGCCUCGGAAUCGCCCUAGACGACGACGACGGUAACCGGAUCGGCUACCGGAAGCACAAGUACUGCGAGAUGAGGAGAAGACAGAGAAGUCGCAUGGCCGCCCUGGUGCCAGAACCUGAUGAGAUUCUCCCACCGGGAUAGAGUCUGGUAGAGAUUCCGGUAGGUGAUUUUGCCGCCGCCCCAUUUUUUGAUCUGGGUCUGUGACCCCCAGCGGCAGUCGCACAUGGAGAACCAGAGCUUGCCGUCGUUCUUGCACAACGAAACGAACAGUUUCAACUUGCAGGCGAAGCUGGAGAUCUCCGGUGGGGUCGGGAAGGAGAGGAUGCAGAGCUGGACGUCUUCCAGGAAAUCGGAGAAUGAAACGGUGUCGUUCAAUUCCUCAAUGUGGAGUUUCGGGCCUUCCAUGAUUGAGAUUUAGGAGAGAAUUACACGGCGAGUUUGGAGGGAUUAAAACUGGGGUGAGAUUUCAGAGGAGGAACAGUUAGUUGGCAUCCCAAUAUUGGUUGUUUUGUGUUGAAAAUUACACGGCGAGUUUGGAGGGAUUAAAACUGGGGUGAGAUUUCAGAGGAGGAACAGUUAGUCGUCAUCCCAAUAUUGGUUGUUUUGUGUUGAAUGCGGUAGACCAAAAUAUAUUAGUUUGGUUGUUAUUGUUGGUGAGUGGUUUGGCUGUGGAGAAAACGCAAGUCGUCUGCUCAUACUGCCCCCAGUAUACCCUUCUACUGCCCCCAGUAGACCCUCAUACUGCCCCCAGUACACCCCCUACUUCCCCCAGUAGACCCGCCCACUGUCCCCAAUAGAACCCCCUACUGCCCCCAGUAGACCCUCCUACUGCCCCCAAUAAACCCUCAUAUUGCCCCCAAUACACCUGCAGACAGACCUUCUACUGCCCCCAGUAGACCCUUACUACCCCCAGUAGACCCCUACUGCCCCCAAUAGAUCUCCUAGCUUUCGUCGGAGUCCGGUCAACAGUCGUCGAGCCCGGUCAUCGGUCGCCUGAGCCCGGUCAACAGUCAUCGAAGUCCGGUCAACGUCAUUGGUCGUGGGAAUCCAGUCAUAGAAACUUUAUUUUAUAAUAGACUUUUAUAAUAGUCUAUUGUAGUUUAUUUAAUUCAUUAAGGGUAUAUUUGUCUUUAUGCUGUUUAAGUUGGCUCUUGGGAAUUUUAAAAUCUGAUUUUGUUAGUGGGAAUAAAAUUCUUAAAAUUAGGGCUAGUGGGCAUUGUCCCUUAACUUUUCUUCUUUUUUUGAAGUUUUUGUCUUUGCUUACCACUGCGAUGUCUGGAUUGUCUUUCAAGCUCUCAGUUGUGAAUAGCUCUCUUAUCGACCACCUAAGAUAGGUUGGUGUCGAUCUCUCCUUUCUAGUAAUCUUGUGCUUCACCUGGGUAUUCUCCAGAAACCAGUACUGUAUUGAAAAAUAAAGACAUGCACUUUCCGUAAGUAAAUGUAUAUAAUAGACACGAAAUAUAAACAGAAAACUAAUAAAUGAACCCUAUAUGAGACCAAAAAAAACUUACAUAGAUCAGUAUCAAGCAUCCACUGAGAACUUUUGGUUUUUUCUUCUCGUGCCUCAUAAGUUCAUCAAAUAGAAAUUCAAGGAUCAUUUUGGGCCAGUUGUACUGGUUGAUUCUUUCAAUGUCCUCGCAAGCAUUUAUGAGGUCCCAGGUGAUGGAUACUGUUGACUUGCUAAAAAAGCAUGUUGUAAACAGAAGCAUAAGUAUGAGGGCAGCAAUGAUUCUUGCAUCACCCUUCUCCUCCUUAUCCACCUCAGCUUCCAGCCUUUUAAGCAAUACUUGCUUGUCUACUGUGUCCUUGAUCAUUUUCACAUCAAAAAUCGCCGAAGGCUUCCUUUUAUCAUUGUCCAUAUUUCUACCCACAUUGUUUAUCACUUCUCCUGAAUUUGGCAACCCAAAUAUCCUCUCUAUGUCUUCCCCCAUGAUCUCCAUCUCUUUAUCCCCAAAAAACAACUUCCUCUUCUCAACAUCAUAGUAUUGAAGGAUGAUUUCGAGGUCACGCUCAUUCUUGGUAAAAUGAUUUUCUUGCACUUUAGAGUGAUAGAUCGGCGAUAUCAUCGGCCAAAAAGAAGUUUUCCGUAGCACAUCCCAUACUUCAAUUUUCGCUUUCGGCUUCACCAUCUUAACUAUUUGUUGAAAAUUGACAAGCAAGCAUUUUUGUUGUAAUGUUGGUAUAACUCCACUCCCUGACUUCUCCUUCUUCUCAGACUUCUUUUGCACAUUCUUCUUCUGCUUUGCUAGAGGACUUUGUUUCUUCUUCUGCUUCUUUGACCUCGUUUCUACUACUUCAUGUUCUUCUUCUUCAUUCUCAGAAUAAGAGGAGGAUUGUUUUCUUCGUUUUGUCUUCAUACUGAGGAGGAGGAUUAUUAAAUUAGUAUUGAAUAGAGCAAUGAAAUACAUAAAGGAAAUAAGCUUUCUACUUCCCCAAACAGAGGCGACAUUGCCCCAAAUACAGUGUCUUAUUGACCCCAGUAGGACCUCCCACUGACCCCAGUAGGGACCUAUUCUUGCAUAAUCCAGUUUCCACAAGGCACAAAAACAAACUUAGAGCAUCAAAAAUAGCACAGAGCAUCAAAAACAAACUCAAAAUUUGGUUCAAAUCAAGAACCCUAUAUCCCCAAAUUGAACAAGUCCUAGUGCCGCCAGUAGGAAGGUUCUAUUGCCCCCAAUAUGAUCCUCUGCCCCCAAUAAGAGUCCUAUUGACUCCAAUAGGAGGUUCUACUGACCCCAGUAUGCUCCUCUUCCCUCUACUGCCCAAUAGGGGACCAAUAGUAGAACCCUAAAUUUGAAACGAAAUCCCUAGAUUUUACAGAUUCAAACAAAUACAAUUGCUAUUCUUCUCAAUUUAGACCAUAAACAAGUAUAAAACAGAUGAAUUAUACAGAGAUUGAUUCAAAAUUUGAAGGAGAUUAAAGCUGGUAGAGAAAUGGAAGAUUACCUGGCGGAGCACGACGGAGUACACGGCUAGUGUGAGAGGAUUUGAGCGAGAGGGCGCGAAUAUGAGAUUGAGAGAGGAGAGAGAGAGAGAGAGAGAGAAGAGAGAGAGAGAGAGAGAGANNNNNNNNNNNNNNNNNNNNGUUUUUAAUGGGUAUUAUCGUCUUUCUCUUCAUUUAGUUGGUUAGUGAGAAUUUUGAGAUCUUAUUUUGUUAGUGGGAAUAAAACUCUUAAAAUUAGAGCUAGUGGGCAUUGUCCCUAUAUUUUUUGAUAGACAAAGUUUAAUUGCUCAAGUUAGCACAAUAUUAAUUAUCCGCUGUAGAUAAUAUAUUGAUGUUACUGAAAUCAGUGAAAUGCUCUCUACUGCUUGAUUAAAUGGUACAAUUCAGUUUGCAGGUGGAGUUACCCGAGUUUUUCAUAAACAUAUAGUGUGGCUGCAAAACAAUGAAGCAAGACAACACAAUCAACCAAUUACAAAUAUAGAUGAAACAAUGCUUUACUGUGUGCAUGUUCAUGAGAGAGACAGAGUGCCAUGACAAACAAAGCAGAUAUAAAUAAAUUCCCCUGAAAUCUUUUGUGGAAUACAAGGUCCUUCAGACGAAAAAAAAGGUCCUUCUGAUUUUAGAAUGUCAAGGGCACAACGCAGGGAGCUAGGAUGUCGACCACUUUCGUUUCAUUCGACAAUGUGUUCCACCGAGCGAGAGAACGGCAUAGUGCAAAAGCGAAUGCUGAAAUUGUACUGGCACCUGCAUAAACGAGGAAGAGAAGUGAGCUGGUACAGUAUUUGUAUUCUGCAUUACUUUCCCUAUCAAACAGACGAGUACAAUGCAGCAUGCAAUUAGCCUAGUGUUCAUGUUCUUAGACACCUAAAAGUAAGCAGAAUGGAGUUAGCAACGUGCUCGGGAUGCGCGGCCUAAUUAAUUAACACGCUAUUGAGAAUGUAAAAGGUAGAGUGAUCUAUCAGUUGGAAGGUAUGUUAGAUUUGGUCACCGUGGGUAUACAGCAUACGUACAAUACGUACAGCAAAGAAAUCAUAACAUAUAAUGACUCAUGAAGCAGAAAAUGCACAUGUUCUGAAGUUGGAUUGCAUUCAGGAAGAUCCUACAUAAGUGUUUGAAGUUGAUUUAUCUCUAUUCGAGAAAAAAAAAAAAAUUCAAGUUUUAACCGAAUUGGAUAAUAACUCACCGGUUGAAGACAGGGAUCAAAACUAGACCGAUGAGAGUCGAGGAAACCAUCAUGCACAAGUUACCGAUACAUCUUCAUCACACUCUGGAAUUACUACAUGAACCCCGCACCUCCACAUCCCGGUGUCGGUAGUCUGAAGAAAACCAUAUUCAAACUCAAGGUUAACAAGAAAGCUAUUGGAAGGUAAGCCAAUGCCAGACUCGCUGACCCGUCUUACUAUUGUAUCGAAUGGAAUAUAGUUAUAUAGUGCAACCACACAGCACCACCACCCAACAUCCACCGAUGGCGGUCAUCUUCCAGCCUUCGAGUGAUGCACACACCGUUAAUGUAGAUUGUGCGUAAUCUGAAACAUGAACUAAUGAGGUGGUCUACAUCAAUCUGAUGAACACAGAACGCCAAUCCUCCUUUGCUCUCCCAUAAUUUGAAAUUUCCAGGAAUUUUAAUAUUGAACUUGACGUCAAUUUCAAUAUUCUAGUUGGCAUCUUGCUUCUCUACGAAUUCACUGCCAUUUUACAAGGAAAGGCCUUCUGGAAAGCACUAGCAGAAGCCGAGCAGAGCAGACGCGCGCGACAAAAUAAAAAAAAAUAAAAUAAAAUAAAAUUGGCCGAGGUGGGCUGGGGGAACAUAAGCAAACUGGGCCUAAGCGGGCUAGGCGGAAGUGAGCCUCGUCUAGGCGGUUACCAGGAUAGUGGGCCUACUCGGGUUGGAGGGUCCCACCUUUAACAACUGAAAAUGAAAAAAAGCAACGAAGGUUCUCAGUCUCUGUAAGUCUUUUGUUUCAAUCUUCAAAGGCGGCGCCUAGUUUGCCUUGUCUCACUUUACCAGGUAAACCCUAAACUGUUUGCUUUCAUAGACUUGACUACAACCAAAAAGAAAUGAAAAUUUUUGACUUAAUUUCACUGGAACUGGGGCUGGUUUCCCGAAUUCAUCGACUUUUCCUCUUUACCGACUCAGUGAAUGGAAAUUUGUUCCUGGGUUCUCUCUGUUUAUUGAUAGUUUGAGCUGUGAUUGUUUGUAUGAACUUGGAUAGUUUAUAAUUGAGCUCCAUAAUGUUAUGCAUUAAAAUAUGAUAGAGGUGACUCCGAUUGAGGUUGCUUGCUUGGUUUGAGCUGAACUCAGUAAUUAUAAGCCAAAAAGUUGCAAUAUUUUCUAAAUUUUGUAGCAGAUGAAGUUUUUAUUAGUGAUCUAUAAUGUGUGGUUUGUCUUGGGUGCAAUUUGUAGAUGGCUAGUUGGGAUGAGAUUCUGUCUCUUCCUGUACAUAAUCCUCCCACUUUGGAGUUUUCUGCUGAAACUAGUCUUGUACUUGUGUAUGAAACUAGACCUGACUCAAUUCCGUUCUUUUAUCAGUACAUCAAUAGAAGACUAGUCUACUUGUGUAUGAAACUAGUAUAGAGUAUAGACUGCAUAAUAUUUCGGUGGGGAUUGCAAAAUGGCGGACCACAUACCUGAAGAUGUGAUAGCGAAGAUCUUCCAGAGGUUGCCCGUCAAAUCCUUAAUCCACUUCACCUCCGUUUCAAAGCGCUGGCGCCUCAUCAUUCUCCAAGAUCCUCACUUCGCCGCAUCCCAUUACCAAAUCGCUUCCCACAACAAAACGCUCCGUCACAGUGUCUGCUUCCGCAUCCACCUCGACUCUGACGGGUUCUUCGAAUCUCAAAUGACAUUGUCUUCUUUUCCAAUUGUGAAGAGAGACCUUCGCUGCCCGUUCAAGAAACCUCACAGCAUGGCUUACGUGUACUGUUCUUGCCGUGGUUUGGUGUAUGCAGGUGUUAACGGGAAGCAGAAGAUAGAGAUGUAUGUAUGGAACCCAUCAACUGGACUCUCCCAGAAACUAUCUGAUCCUGGUGUUAUAGAUGAGUAUCAGAUCUUUACUGGUUUCGGCUACGUCUUGGCCACCCACGACUACAAGAUUCUCAUCGCCAACUCUUGACUUGAGGAGGGAGAGCAUGCCAAGAUCCGCAUCUUCUCAUCGCAAUCCAAAUCUUGGAGAAGGAUUCAAGAUUCUCCAUAUUCGGACUUGUUUAUGACAGUUGUGGGGAUUCUUUGUAACGAGGCACUUCAUUGGCUGAUGUUCAAUGAUGAUGAUAUUGUUUCUUUUGAUUUAGCAAAUGAGAAGUUUCGGACAAUGGCGCUGCCUGUUGUUGGGGAGGAGUAUGGAGGUGACUAUUUCAGACAUGUAGGAGAGUCUGGAGGUUGUCUGUGUGUGUUUGGUCAGGCGGAUGUUACUGCUGCCUCUAUGGAUUUGUGGGUCAUGAGGGAAUAUGAUAAGGGUAACUCCUGGACUAAGCUUUUUAAAGUGAGGGUUUCCGAUCAGCCUGAUGAGCAGAUAAGUUUUGUCCAGCCAAUCUUGGGUACUGAAACUUGUACAUUUCUGGAGAUACAUACUGAAUCAGGAGGCGGGCCGAAGCUGGUCAGGAGUUAUCAUAAGGAAGAGAAGACUGAAGAGGUUCAUAUGGAUAGAUAUAGCCGCGAAAUAAUUGGGUAUGAAGAGAGUCUACUUUGGCUUGAGUAAAUCGUUACUCUCUGCAUCCAACUUCUGGUUAGUUGCUCCUCAUUUCCACUCUGUUCAAUGUAUUUUUGUUUCAGUUCUCAUUGCUACUUAUUUACUUGUUGAAUAUAUGUUCAAUGUACCAUUUACUUCUGUAACUUUUGAGUCCGUGACUUCAAAUAUGGGUAGAAAGUUACAAGUCCUUCAAAAUUUCUUGUAUUAGAAAGGUGUCUUGACAAAUGGCUUUUGUGCUUGCUUGAUGUUAUACCAUCAUACAGAUAAUAAGUAUUAUAUUUUGCCUAUAUAAUUUGAUGAUUACAUCUGGAGAUUGAUCUGUGCAUUCAAAUUCUGGUUAUCCUUUUGAAACUCAAUCAUCAAUGGUUCCUUUUCCUUUUUUUCCUUUUCUUUUACCAUUAGGCUUCUAAUAAUUAGACUUUCAUUCUUUGGAGAGUUCGCUAGAUACUUUGUGUUCGUAUGAGGAAUCAGUUUAAUGGGAUUGAUUUGAAGACAUUUUUGGUCACCAGAGAGCAGACACUAGAGUGUCAGUUAGCCUAAAUGGAUAUAUGGUAGAACAGGGAUCAUUUGAACCACUUUUGAAACUGAUGCAAGAUGGUUAGACAGCAUUAAGAAAGUUGAGGUAUCUCUUUUGAUCAGUAGCAACAGAAGAUCACGUCAUUCACAUGUUAUGCUAUAGCUGUUAAGGCUAACAAACUAAGAAUCAAGGCAGGUUGACCACUGUUUGCGAUCAAGAGGUUUGAUCUCUUCAAUUUGAAUCUUGAUUUGUAUUUUUCCUUUUGUUUCCAUAGAGCUUUAGAAUACAAUCACAGUACACUCACAUGAUAUGAUCUCAUAUCAUGUACCCGUCAUCCUCUACUACGGUGCAGAUCCAAC
rnacentral:lncRNA from 1 species